UUCUUUUUAUAUCAUUUGAUUCAUUGUUAAAUAUACUUUCAUGUACAUAUAUAGUUUUACAUAUUUCACAAAUUUUUUUAAUAAGACGAACAGUCAAACAUGUGCUAAAAAGUCAACGGUGUCAAAUAUUUUGAAACGGAGGGAGUAUUUGUUAUUAGAUAUUUAAAAACAAAUGUUGGAAAAAAUAAUUACGUUGAAAAACCCCAAAAUUAAGUCUUAAAUUCAGUUUUAGAAUUUAAAUUUACGAUUUUGCUUUUAUGCGGAAGGCGGAACGAUAGGGUGUUAUCAAACUUACCAUGUUUUGGUUUUGCUAAAAUUUAGAUGAGUUCAUUUUGGCAUCAAAUUAAUUACACUUUUAGUGCAAGGAGAGACGCGAAUGACUUGUUCUAUGACAGUGCUAGUAGUGUGCCGAAGGACGAUGAUAUCCACAUGACGAUCAUCAGCAACCAAGCCCUGAUUUCGACGAUUCUGUACACGCAUUUGAAACUGGAAACUCGAAAUCGUAUGACUAGGCAGAAAACAAGACCAAUCUAUCAAGUAGAAAAACAAUAUCUCCUCUCUCUCUCUCUCUCUCUCUCUCUCUAAAAAAAGCAAUAUCUCUUGAUCGAUCGAUUCGAGUUUGCAUAUCUAUUUCGUUGAAAAUUCCCCAUGCAUUUGGGAUCAUGCAUAUCAUCAGUAUUCACGUAACUAAUUACCCUUUCACCAAAAGAACUGUCCGUCUUCGUUGAAAUUUUCCAAUACACAUUUGGAGUCAUCCAUAUCAGUAUUCGUCCGAUUAACUACGGUUGCACCAAAAAGGUCCCAACUAGUUUCGAUGUUCGAUCUAACCACUGAAAACGCCACACAAACGAAUCCUGGUUAAAUUGGGGAUAAGUUCAGCAGUAGCAGGUACAUACGCCGAUGCGCGGCGAGUGACGAGACGAUGGCCGAUCGGGUGGAUCACGCCCGCUUGUCCAUCAUGGACUUGAACUCGUCGAAGGGGAUGACGCCGUCUCCGCGUACUUGGCCAUCAUGGCCUUGAACUCGUCGAAGGAGAUGACACCGUCGCCGUCGCUGUCCGUGGCCGCGACGAUCUCCGCGUACUCCUCGGCCGUCAGAUCCACCCCGCCGAGCCUAUGCAUCGCGCGCCGCAGCUCCUCCGCCGUGACCACACCGUCCCCGUCCUCGUCGUACUAGUUGAACACCGCCUGCAGCGCCUCCGAAUCCCCGUCCUCCAUCACUGCGCGGAGCUCCUCGAUGCUGUCCUCGUCGUACUCGUCGAACACCGCAUGCAGCGCCUCCGAAUCCCCGUCCUCCAUCACCGCGCGGAGCUCCUCGAUGCUGAGGAACCCGUCCCCGUUCUGCCUAUCCGCCGCGGCGACCGUCUCCUUGGCCUUCCCGCACCCGUAGAAUUCCCUUAUCUCCGCGGCCGAGAGGUGUCGUCCGUCGCCGUCGGUGUCGAAGCAGCGGAAGACGCGGCCGCGCUCCGGCUCGGUCUCCCAUUUCCAGAACGAUGGAUGAACAUCCAGCCUAUCCGAGGGCGGUGGCGGCGACAGGCUACGGCUACGGCUACGGCUGCGGCAGAGGCAACCGCAGGAGAGGACGAGACCCAUGGCGAGACGGAUCGUGCGCCGCGCGUUUCCGUAAUGAUCAGUGCGUGGGGGUUUUGGGGGCUCUUGGCCGAUCGGCCAUUGGCUUCAGGGUUUAGGUGCUCUUUAACGGUUUUCCUAUAAAUUUGUUUAACAGAUUUUAUCCUCAAAAUCACACGAUUUUUUUGGGUUAACCACGUCAUGACGUCACAACCAGAUUAUGUGAAAAAAAUUGAUAAUUUAACACUUUUUUCGUUGUUCAAUUGCUCUAAUGGACACUUGUGAGAAUGACAUGUGUGACCAUAUAAGCGAAUGUAAGUGGGCCAUGAUGUCAAAUAAUAAAAAUCCAUUUUAAGGAGUGUUAAAUUAUCAAAUCUCUAUAUUAUGGGUAUGUUUGGAGAGCUUGAAAUUUUGAGAAACAGUUGAUUGGUAGCUAGCUUUUAAAAAUUUGUUUAUGGCUUCUAAUUUAUUUUUAGAUUAUACAACUACAGAUCCUCGUAAUCUGAACAAGAAGCUAGAUGGUGUCGUUUGUUUCCCAGAUUUGUACUACAUGUUUUAACCGUACAAUGUGCAUUGAGAUCCGUGCUAUGUAUAAGUCGCGGGUACGCUUUUUAAUUAAACCAGGGCACUAUGUAUUUAGGUGAACAAAUUUAUCAUGUAAUCUACUCCCUCCGUUUCAUAAUAUAAGAGAUUUAGGGUGUAUAUGACACUCAUAUUAAUAUAAAUCUAGAUAGGAUAUGUCACAUGACACAUCAACUAAAAAUCUCAUCUCUUAUAUUAUGGGACGGAGGGAGUAUAUAGUUUGUCGGUGACAUGGGACCGGGAGUAUCAUGAAUAGAGGCUUGAGACAGACACAAUCGCCCACGUGGCCUGGCACCCUCGGGGGGCGUCGGGCCCGAGGGUGAUGUGUUCGCCCUCUUCUUUGUCUCCCCAAGGGGGUCGGACCGCUCCCGCCUCGGCCCCGAGGGCCGAGGCGCCCCGACCCCUCGUGGGUUUUCGCUCCGCGUGUAUGGGUUAGGUGGGCACAGUGGGGCUCACCUAACCACAUUUAUUGCGGUUUGGCUGAGCGUGUCACGCCGCAUGUAACGCGGUGCAGUGCACUCAUUUAUCCGGUCUGUGACCAGUCACAGACCGGUCAGAUCGCGGGUUAGGUGGCGACAGGCGAUCUGACGCACGCCUCGCCCCAUCCCGUCAGGACGAGGGCUUCUAGGCACUCGUCCCCAGCUGGAGCUAGCGUGUUACCUCCCAGAGAUGGCACGUUAGUCCUGGUCAGAUAUAUGCCAGGCUUCAUCCUAACCAUUACAGGCAAAAUGUUGUGUGAAGAAGGGCCAACGUGCAGAUUGCUAAGCUGACGCGUGGUGGACAAGAAUGACCGAUUUGUGACCAGUCUGACACCGGUCAUGUCGUCAGCAGACAGCCAUGAUUCCGCGUCGCGCCUGUUCCCGGCGAAAGUGGAGGUAGGUGCGGGCCGUCCCAUCAGAAGGUGACUCGAACGGCAACCAUGCAAAUCUCCGUCCAUUUAUGAAAAGGUAGGGUAAGUCCCCACAGAGAGGGGGGGAUGGUGCAUGUGGUAUCCCCUUAAGAUAUAAAAGGAGGACCUUGCCCACUGAGAGAGGGGGAGUUUUUUCUUGGACUGGACUUUUCCAGAUUAGGAACCCAGAACAAGGGAGAGGCUGGCUCAUACUUUGUAGCUCCUUCACACACGAAUCCACCAAAACACGGGAGUAGGGUAUUACGCUUCUAAGCGGCCCGAACCUGUAUACAUCGCCGGCGUCUUCUGUGCUUCCUAUCUCGCGAACCUUCCACACACAGAUUGGGAGCUUAGAGUCUCACCCAGGGUCCCCGGCCGAACCGGCAAAGGGGGGCCAGCGCGGUCUCCCGGUGAGGAGCCCCACGCUCCGACAUCUGGCGCGCCAGGUAGGGGACUCUGCGAGUGAUCUUCUGAGCUCUUGCACUCUUUCGUGUGCGCCAAGCUUUUCCUGUUCAGCCUCAUGGCUGAGCAAGCAAAGGCGCACAACCUCUCUCCGAGUGUGAGUGGCGACGACGGGGAGCCGAACCCACGCCGUCGAGCUCGUACUCCACCGCCCCCUCCACGCCAAAGUCCUAAGCAGGGGGAGGCGCUCGAGAGGGCCGAAGGAUCCGCGACUUCGACAUCCACAGGAGGUGGAAAGGGGCGGCGAGAUGGGGAGCAUCGCCUCCUCGUCUAUGGUGACGGCAGCACGCCCCAGGGCGCGCUCCAAGCUGCGGGCGCGCUCCUACGUCACCCGCCCGUCGCCCAUGACCCGGAGUCUCCAGCCCAACGCUGGCUGGACGAUGUGGCCAAAUUGGUCAUGACUGCACGGCAGUGUAUAGAUGCUGGUGGGCGGUCCUCCGCCACCAAGGCCUCUGGUGCUGCUACCACCGGCUCCGCGUCGUCAAGACGAAGGGCGCGGCGAGCGGCAGCCGCCGUUCGCCAUUCGGCCACCACUCCUUCGUCGACUCCUUCGGCCCGGAAAGAUCUGCGAGGGAGGCCGGACGCCCGCACCAGCAUCGAGCGGCGGCGUAAUGACCGACGUGCUACCCACGCAACGGAGGGCGCUUCCUCGUCCAGAGUGUCACCUCAGCACAGACGCGGGAAUCAGCCCUCCGUGCCCCCGGUUGGUGGUGUCGGCUGUAGAGCCUUUGUGGCGAGUCUUCGGAAUGUCCGUUGGCCCCCAAGGUUCCGGCCCACCAUCGCCGAAAAAUAUGAUGGCAGCGUCAACCCCGCCGAGUUUCUCCAGGUCUUCACGACCGGGAUUGAGGCCGCCGGGGGUGACGACAGGGUCAUGGCGAAUUUCUUUCCCAUGGCCCUGAAGGGGCAGGCGCGGGGUUGGCUAAUGAACUUGCCACCCGCGUCAGUCCACUCCUGGGAGGAUUUGUGCCAACAGUUCACCAUGAACUUUCAGGGCACAUAUCCGCGCCCAGGUGAAGAAGCGGACUUACACGCAGUACAGCGAAGGGAUGAUGAGUCACUUCGCUCGUAUAUUCAGCGGUUCUGUCAAGUCCGCAACACCAUACCAUGCAUCCCUGCACACGCGGUAAUCUACGCGUUCAGGGGAGGCGUGCGGCACAACCGCAUGCUCAAAAAGAUCGCCUCUAAGGAGCCCCAGACUACCGCGGAGCUUUUUCAGCUCGCGGACCGAGUGGCUCGCAAGGAGGAGGCAUGGACCUGGAACCCCUCCGGUUCCGGUGUGGCAGCUUCGGCCGCCCCCGGAUCCGCCGCUCAGACAGGGCGGCGUGACAGGAGGAGGAAGAAGAGGUCAGCCCAUACCGACGACGAGGGUCAUGUCCUCGCCGUCGAGGGCGCUCCGCGGGCCACCCGAAAGGGGAGGCCUGCGAGCGACAAAAAGAAGGAAGCCGACGCUCCCUGACCUCGGCUACUUGGAAGAGCGAAGGCGGCGCGCGGCCCUUCGAGCCGCGCGCUACCAGCAGAGCCUGCGGCGCUACCAUCAGCGCCACGUCCGGGCCCGAUCACUCUGCGUCGACGACCUCGUCCUACGCCGUGUCCAAACGCGUGCUGGACUGAGCAAACUCUCACCAAUGUGGGCGGGUCCGUAUCGAGUGAUCGGCGUCCCCCGGCCGGGCUCCGUUCGGCUGGCCACGGGCGACGGCACAGAGCUGCCUAACCCGUGGAACAUCGAACACCUUCGUCGCUUCUACCCCUAGUGGGGGUUGGGUGUCAGGUCUUGGGCUCGGGCCAACUCCGCACCCCCCCGGCGUGCAGGGUUGGCCGGGGGCUUAUCUUUUUUCUCUUCCGUAUUUCAAUAAAAGCAUUUUCGAUUUCCUAAAGGCUGUGUCUGUGCUUUUGUUUCCUUUUGAAGAAUCUUGACUUGAAAUAGGUCACUCGUGCUCAAUCCUACCCUCGGGGGCUCGGGUCGGCUAAAAUCGCCAAAAGGGGCCCAGAACCGAGCCGUGCCCCGGGACGUGGUGAACUCCGGGGGGGAAUCGGCAAAAACCCACAAUCGGGUCACCCAUAACCCUCGGUCACCACGCUCCCGGCCUGGCCAGUCUCGACAUGUGGAUCUCCCCAGGCACUAGCCUUGACCCGCGCCGUUUGAGGCUGGGACCUGGGCACGAGCCCUUGUUCAAGCCAAGACACAGAAGGACCGUGGCACAGACCAUCCUCGUCUCAUACACAGAACAAAUGAAAUUGACACAAAAAUUUCCUCUUUAUUUGAUCGCAGAUUAAAUCAGCCUAUAACAAGAAGGGGGCCCGAAGGCCUCGGAAGAAGAAGGAAAAGCUAUUAAGAUUGGCGGAGGCCUGGGGGCUCACUCCGACGCGCCCGGGUAGCCGGCCUCGCCGUCGCUGUUGUCCGCACCGUCGUCACCGCACUCCUCGUCGGAGUUGAAGGCAAACGCGAGCCGAGGGGCCGCUCAUUAUUGUCGGUCGGUUUUCCCUUGCUGAUGCGCGCGAUUUGCGACCGCCGGGAUUCUGCCCGAAGAGAGAGAGAGAGCAGGGAGGAGAGGCCCCCGAGCCGAACGGUGGCCCAAGGCCCCCGACGACCGGAGCAGGCCCUCUGCCCGCUUGUCAGACGGUGCCAGGUGCCCCCGACCCCCAGGAUGGCCCCGAGGCCACUGCGGGAAGGCCGCGCCUGUCGCCCUCUGACCCCGAGGUCGUCGGCACAGAAGCCGAGUGCGCCCCGCGUGGCCUCUCGGAUGGAGAGCGCCCUGGAGAUGUGGCCCCUGACGAAGAAGAUCGGCCCCGCCGAAAGGUGCAGCGGCCCGUCUACUUCGUUAGCGAGGCCCUCCGGGACGCUGAGACCCGAUACCUUCAGGCCCAGAAGAUGCUUUACGCUAUCCUGAUAACUUCGAGGAAGUUACGCCAUUAUUUCCAGGCGCAUCGGGUCACGGUGGUUACGUCUUAUCCCCUCGGCCAAAUCUUGUAUAACCGAGAGGGUACUGGACGGGUGGUGAAAUGGGCAAUCGAACUCUCUGAAUUCGAUUUGCGCUUUGAACCAAGCCACGCGAUCAAGAGCCAGGCCCUCGCCGACUUUGUGGCGGAGUGGACCCCAGCUCCCGAGCUCGUCUCCGCCCCCGAGGCCAGCUCGAGCCCAUCGCAGCUGCCUCACACCGCCCUCUGGGUGAUGUAGUUCGACGGCACCUGUAGGAACCGGCCCCACCUGUCACCAGGCCUUAGAAGUGGCGUCACGCCCGACCGCUUCCCUCGGGGAGGGCGAUCGCCCUGGCAUAACGCCGGGGGCUACUGUCGGUGACAUGGGACCGGGAGUAUCAUGAAUAGAGGCUUGAGACAGACACAAUCGCCCACGUGGCCUGGCACCCUCGGGGGGCGUCGGGCCCGAGGGUGAUGUGUUCGCCCUCUUCUUUGUCUCCCCGAGGGGGUCGGACCGCUCCCGCCUCGGCCCCGAGGGCCGAGGCGCCCCGACCCCUCGUGGGUUUUCGCUCCGCGUGUAUGGGUUAGGUGGGCACAGUGGGGCUCACCUAACCACAUUUAUUGCGGUUUGGCUGAGCGUGUCACGCCGCAUGUAACGCGGUGCAGUGCACUCAUUUAUCCGGUCUGUGACCAGUCACAGACCGGUCAGAUCGCGGGUUAGGUGGCGACAGGCGAUCUGACGCACGCCUCGCCCCAUCCCGUCAGGACGAGGGCUUCUAGGCACUCGUCCCCAGCUGGAGCUAGCGUGUUACCUCCCAGAGAUGGCACGUUAGUCCUGGUCAGAUAUAUGCCAGGCUUCAUCCUAACCAUUACAGGCAAAAUGUUGUGUGAAGAAGGGCCAACGUGCAGAUUGCUAAGCUGACGCGUGGUGGACAAGAAUGACCGAUUUGUGACCAGUCUGACACCGGUCAUGUCGUCAGCAGACAGCCAUGAUUCCGCGUCGCGCCUGUUCCCGGCGAAAGUGGAGGUAGGUGCGGGCCGUCCCAUCAGAAGGUGACUCGAACGGCAACCAUGCAAAUCUCCGUCCAUUUAUGAAAAGGUAGGGUAAGUCCCCACAGAGAGGGGGGGAUGGUGCAUGUGGUAUCCCCUUAAGAUAUAAAAGGAGGACCUUGCCCACUGAGAGAGGGGGAGUUUUUUCUUGGACUGGACUUUUCCAGAUUAGGAACCCAGAACAAGGGAGAGGCUGGCUCAUACUUUGUAGCUCCUUCACACACGAAUCCACCAAAACACGGGAGUAGGGUAUUACGCUUCUAAGCGGCCCGAACCUGUAUACAUCGCCGGCGUCUUCUGUGCUUCCUAUCUCGCGAACCUUCCACACACAGAUUGGGAGCUUAGAGUCUCACCCAGGGUCCCCGGCCGAACCGGCAAAGGGGGGCCAGCGCGGUCUCCCGGUGAGGAGCCCCACGCUCCGUCAUAGUUAGUCCCUAUAUUAAUUUAGCACCAACCAGAGUAUUAAAGGUGGUCUUCAGCGGGUCCAAACAAAACGGGUGGGGCUAAUUGGCUAGCGUUUGCGGGCUGUGAGCCUGUGAAUGGGUCCCAACAACCUAGCAACCUAUUAGCCCCAAAUCUCCUACUCUCUCGCUACCUUUUAGUCUUCCCAUUGUGCCAAUAAAGAAAGUCUUCUUCUUAUGUUGAUUAUGAAAUAUGCCAAGAGUGACCUUUCGGCUUUGGCGGUAGAGUAGGAUCAGGACGUAUGGCGAUGGCAUCGACAAUGGCCUCUCUUUGGUGAACUCCCUCUGCUCUCCCUUUUGCGCGAGGUCCAAAUCCAAAUCAGCUUUGAUUCCUCGCCUUCUUCGUUGCCACCACCUGGCUUGUCGGAGCCAAAAGGCAUCAACGUGCCGCCGCAGCUCCGCCUGACCAGCCUUCUACCUAUCCCCUGUGCCGCCGCAGCUCCGCCCGACAAGUCUUCUACCCAUCCCUUUGUCCUUUUUCCUCUCCUUCGACCGGUCCACGUUAGAAAUUGUUGUAUAUGGCUAUCUAUUUAGAUUUGAUGGGGUAACUGUAAAAUUUCUAAUACAGUAACUGGGGCAGCAGAUUCACUAUCACCAUCACUACAUUAUUCCUUCUUCUAAAGGAGUAUAGAUACACAUGCUUCUUUUAAGAAAUUGUAGAACUCUCGAAGGAGUAUAGACAUACAUGCUUCUUUUAAACGAAGAAAUUAAGAAAUUAUAUAAGUCGAGAAAAAGAAGAACUGAUUUCUUUUAUGGUAUAAACCAAAACAUAGUAAAUACCCCGACAAAGAAAUUGAGGUGUGGCACAAUUUUACAACGAAAAUUUUUGAUUGGAGAAAUACGUGCUUCUGUUCUGUGCGUGGCCUAAUUGGCACACCUGAACGCUUGAUCUCGAGUUGGACGGCCGAAGAUUUCCAGUAAAAACAUGCCUUGAAUAGGUCAGGGCCAGCCAAACCCGGCCCAAACCUCACUUUAUCCGAGAGCCCGUCGUCUCUUCCAGGCUUCAAGCCAUCUCCACCCCCAACCAACCCCACUGCUCUGCUCUUCGCGCGCCUCCACCGCCGAACCCCAUGGCCGCCGCCGCCGCCGCGGGGGCGACGCCGGCGACGGCGAGGAAGGCCCUGCUCACAACAACCGCCACCCUCCUCUCCUCCUCGCUCGCGCGCAGCCGGCGCAGCCUCUCCUGCUCCGCGGCCGCUGCCUCCGCCGCCCCGCGCAUCGCGCCUCAGCCGCCGGACCUGCUCCGAUGGGUGCAGCGGGAGGGAGGGUUCGUGCACCCCGCCCUCCGCGUGGUCGACCAUCCUGAGCACGGCCUCGGGGUCUCCGCCGCCGCGGCCGAGGGAGACAUUCCCCCUGGCGACGUCCUCAUCGCGCUACCCGGCCGCCUCCCUCUACGACUCCGCCGCCCCGCCGGCGCUGCGGACGCGGUCCUCGUGCAGCUAGCGGACCAAGUACCUGGUAAUGGCUCUCCUAGUCCUGGCUCAGAUUUUCAAUUACCUCUGUUAGUCACGUUGUGGAAACCAGUGUGGUAGAUUCAUGUUUGUGAAGAGUUGCUAAUGCAUCAAAAGUAAGAUCUAUUUCUAUAUAAGAAUCAGGAGCAUAAUUGGUAUUGAUUCUGCUGUUGACGUCGGAUCAAUUGAACUGACAUCCUCCUAGUAUUGCGUUUUAGUUCAGUAGCAAUUUUUUCGCCAGCGCGCAAAAGCUUUGCACGCCAAUAUAUUAGAGUUCAGUAGCAGUUGGGUUUUACAAUUUUGAGAAAUGCGGUUGUCCUGAACACCUAAUGUCUAAUGGCGAAUGCUGUUUUCUCGUGUUAAAUUGAGUAAGAUUGAGUCAGGUUUUCCUAUAAUUUACGCUACACAACCUAAUCCUUUGUGUAGCUAAUGUUGUAUUUUGACAUAAUUGCUGCACGAUGGAACUAUUCUACAUGUGCACUCUAUGAUCCUGCCCUCUUUUAGUGUAUGAGGGACUUUACAUUCUAGAAAAUUAGGCUAAGUACCCUUCAGUGACUAACAAAUUCAAUCCUGCGGGAAGCAUGUGACAGAGGAACUAUGGGCUAUGCGACUGGGCUUGAGGCUGCUUCAAGAAAGGGCAAAAUCUGAUUCUUUCUGGUGGCCAUAUAUCGCAAAUCUGCCAGAGACUUUUACUGUACCGAUAUUUUUUCCAGGGGAAGACAUAAAAAACUUGCAGUAUGCCCCUCUUCUCCACCAGGUUGUUAUAAAUUAUUGUAGUUCUUAUUGCAUUUCCCCUCUUCUUUUUUGACUUAUUAUAUUUCAGGUGAAUAAAAGGUGUCGCUUCCUUCUCGAGUUUGAAAAAGAAGUGAAACAUAAGCUUGGUACAGUGCCCUUGGAAGAUCAUCCUUUUUGUGGACAAGAUGUAAACUCAUCUUCCCUUGGAUGGGCUAUGUCAGCAGCAUCUACUCGGGCAUUCCGUUUGCAUGGUGAAAUCCCAAUGCUGUUGCCUCUUAUUGAUAUGUGUAACCAUAGUUUUAACCCAAAUGCUAGGAUUGUCCAGGAAGGAAAUGUGGAUAGCCCUGAUAUGUCAGUUAAGGCAAGUAUCCUGAAUUGUUUGUGUACUUCUGAGCCCAAGAAAUUUUGUAUUUCCUUAAGACAAUUUUUGUUAAUUGAAUGCCCUCUGUUAGUAGCUUUGUUUAUGCAUAACAGCAUAAGUGACAUGUGAAUGCAUUUAUUUAACUGAAUUCAUGGAUAAAUGUAGCCUUUUAUGUUAUCUUACCAUAGAUGCAAGUAACUCUGACCACCUUGACCUUGCUUAUAGGUUGUUGCUGAGACAAAAAUUGAUCAAAAUGCUGCGGUAACACUGAACUAUGGUUGCUACCCUAAUGAUUUCUUCCUUCUUGAUUAUGGAUUUGUAAUAACAUCAAAUUCGUAUGAUCAAGUGGAACUGAGCUAUGAUGGAACUCUCCUAGAUGCUGCUAGCAUGGCAGCAGGAGUUUCUUCGCCUAACUUUUCAGCUCCAGCCAAGUGGCAACAGGAUAUCUUGUCACAGCUAAAUCUGUAUGGAGAGGGUGCUAUUCUAAAGGUUUUGCACACAUUCUUACUGAUCCUAUUUAUUUUUUGCAAUCUAUUGUUGAAUUCAAGUCGUCCAGUAUCCAUGCAGCAAUCUGAACCUUCUUGGUUUUCUGUGGGUAUCACUUGUAAUUUCUUUUCAGGUCAGCAUAGGAGGUCCAGAAAUAGUAGAUGGGCGCUUAUUGGCUGCUUUAAGGGUUAUUAUUGCAGCUGAUCCGGACGCUGUGAGUGGCCAUGACCUCAAGACUUUGAUGUCUCUUAAGGAGAAAGCUCCAUUAGGCCCAGCUGUUGAAGCUUCAGCACUCCGAACUGUCCUUGCACUUUGCACCUUUGCUCUACAACACUUCCACACGAAGAUAAUGGAAGACGAGGCCAUACUAAAAGGAGAACCACCUCUUACUACUGAACUAGCCGUGCAGUUUAGAUUGCAGAAGAAGCUGCUUCUCCUGGAUGUGAUACAGAAUCUUAGUCGCAGAAUCAAGAUGCUAGCUCUAGACAAAUCCACCGUGUAGGAUUUUUCACGUUUUGGAAUUGCUUUCUCGGACAAUCAAUUACCCUAUUGUACUGAUUCUGGAGAUGACAAUAAAGCCCCAAAUUUUGUCCUGUUUUCUUCAUUGUCCAGAUGCCAGAGUCCAAUAUGGCACGGAUGGUUAACAAUCAGAUUGAAUUGAUCGCAAAUUAUAAUCAAGUAUUCGUUGCCAGUUGCAUGUGCUCUAAAAUCUAAAUUAUAUGUUUUUCACUGUAAAAGUAUGUUUUCUUUAGACAAACCGGUUCAUCGGAGAGAGGAAGAUCAUCAAGAAUGAAUGCAUCACAGAUGCACAAUUCAAAAUAGCUAGGCUACAUAACUUUAGUAUUUACAGAACCAAGAUAUAACUUUCCAUUAAUCCUAAGAACUGAAAUUUCCUUGUCUCAACGACAACGACGACGACAAUAAAAUAAAAAGAUUAAUGUACGCAGUACAGCCAAAGAAUGAUCCUAAAAAAACAUCUGCUCAUGUUCGGCUGCUCAAUCAGUCGGGUCUAACCAUGACGAGAGAAGAAAACUCAAGGAGAUCGCGGCGGCGCCCGUACGUCUCCAUCCAAUCCGGCAAUGGGGUGGCGCACGUACGUACGCCUCACGAGUCGCCGCCGAUGGAGAUCGCCGGGCGGGCGGCCCUCCCGAGCGGCGAGCGGGAGCGCUGCCUCGCCUCCAUGUCCCGGAGCACCACCAUCCGCCGCAUCUCCGACACCUGGUGCUGGUACGUCUCGUCCACCUUCACCUUCUCCCCCUCCUCCUGCUUGAUCCGCCUCACCUGGCUGUGCACCACCACCAGCCGCCUCUGCUGCUGCCCUGCAUCCACGUCCCUACCCAUCUCCAUCUCAGCGAAAACCUCCCUCGGCUUCCUCCCCCUCUUGAUUUUUUUUUAUUCUGUCUACAGAGACGAUGGCGAUCACGCGACGAGGCGAAUCCAGACCAUUCGAACGGUGCGUUGCAUGAGAGGGGCGUAUAAAUAGCGGCCGCAUCGCGGGUGUGGAUGGAUGGAUGGGAUCAGGGGACUGACCGGUUCCCCCCUCUCAUCCGCGCCGUUAUUGCGGAGGCAGGCGCAGCAGCUAUACACACGUGUCCUGCUAUCCCGAGCGGUUUAGACGUUUACCCGAUCGAUUGGUCGCCGUCUCGGCGCCAAUUCACCACGUACGCCGAUCCUCCAUGUGUACGGGGUUGACGUCGCGAGGCCGCCGAGUCGUGCCGGUCUGUCCAUUAUCCAGAGUUUCCGGACGGGAUGGACGUUUGCCGAUACGAUUUUGACAUUUUCUUUCUUUUUUCUGCAUGAUUUGUAACGAUGUUUGAUAAACUAUGCGUGUCAUAUCCUUUUCUAUCCGAGGUAAACGCGUCGUGCCAGUUGUUGCAAAAGAUAUAUAAACGCGUCGGUUUAAUUACGUGAUAUGGAGCCGAUAGGGACUCGUCGCACAACGAAGCGAUCGCAAGUGGCAACCGCGCGAGAGAAACGUGUGGGAAUUGGAACAGAGAGUCAGAGCCUAUGGCAAGCUGGGUUGAUAUCCGGCAGUACGUUUAGGACAAUGUUUAAGUCAAACAUUAGGAAUAUAAAUUAUAAAGUUUAAAAAUAUAAAAAUUAUAUGUAUAGAUUUGUCUUGAAAAAUUCUUUCAUAAAAGUAUACAUAUAUCACUUUUCAAUAAAUAUUUUUAUAGAAACAAGAAGUCAAAGUUGUGUUUUAAAAACGGUGUCGCUAUUGUAAACGACUUCCUUUACGAGCAUGGAGCGAGUACGUUGCAACGCGAUUGAACAUCGUCGUCUACAGCUCACUUCGCCGAGUCCCCGGCCCAUCGAGAGGAUGCAUUUAAUUCUGUUAUUUGUUAUUUUUCUCAAACGAGGGUAAAGGUGAUCUGAGUUAAUCUCAGAUCCCCGAAAGCCGGGAUAUCUUUAUUUAUUUAUUUAUUUCAAUGGAGAGUAAGGCGGUUGGAGUUUUGAUCUCCGAUAUUCAUCGAUCGUAUAGUCAUAUUUACGUACUGCAAAGCGAUCGAGUGCAACGGUCAGAGUUUUCAUCUCCGACCUCCCUGGAGAUCGAGUCCCUAUCGAUCGCAUCUGGUGAUCGGAUCGAAAUCUCGCGCGAAACCAGGCGCCUACGUAACGGUGCAAAACAUACCGUCCAUCGGUCUACAGCUCGCCUAGCCGAGUCGCCGAGGCUUUUCGGCCGAGCCUCAAUCGAGGGCAAGGGGAUUCGGAGAUUAAAACUCCGGUUUCCGAACCACCAGGAAAGAUAAGAUGAUUGAAUCGAUGUCUUGCGCCGGAAUUACCAACGGAUGCACCAAUCCUCCUUCUAGAGAGGAUUCUACGCUCAGAGACAAGUCGCUAACCAUGUCGUGCACUGGCGCAGGUAGAUUUUCGAUUUUCUCGUUGCUUGGGUCACAGUGAUAUAUACCAACUACCUGGUAGAACCAGAAGCCGGCUACGGGGUUUCAAAAAGGAAGAAAAUAAAACGUGAAAUCUAUUUCGAGAGCGCUCUCGGUUUAGCUCUAUAGCGUGACGCAUCUCAUAGCCGUCUAACUGUGCACGUCGUCAUGAUGUCCACCCAUGUGGGUGUCUUUUUCUUUUCAAAUAAAGUUCUCGUGGGUAUCUUUUUCCUAUUCAAAUAAAGUUUCCUCUCAAAUUACUUAUCCGAUCUACAAUCCGAUUACACCAUUGUGUUCGUUACAAUUAAAUCUUCACAAACAAGAUCUUACAUGAUUAUGUUACGUUGAAAAAAUAUUUAUAUUUAUAAAUUACUUUUAUUAUAUACAUAAGUUACUUUUAUCAUAUAUAUAAGUUAUUUUUAGAUUUGACUAAAUUACUUCUUAGACAUAUAAAAGUAAAUUCAAUAAAGUCUAAAAGUAAUUUACAUAUAUUCUAAAAGUAACUUAAAAUAAAACAGAAGUAACUUUGUCACGACAUUAGAAGUAAAUUCGUUGUAGGGGAUAAAAUAUGACUUUUUAGUUAAUUCCAUAAUUUGUGCUGAUUAAUUUAAUUUAUAGAUAGAGUCAUGUUUUUAUCUCUACAACAGAUUUACUUCAAAUGACAUGCCAAAGUUACCUUCAUUUUGUUCUAAGUUACUUCUAUAAUAUAUGUAAAUUACUUUUAGACUUACUGAAUUUACUUUUAUAGUUUAAGAAGUAACUUAAUGAAAUCUAAAAGUAAUUUAAACAUAUCAUAAAAGUAAUUUGUGAUUUUUCAUCAAAAUAUAAUCAUGUGAGAUAUUAUUGUAAAUAUUUAAUUGCAACGAACACAACGACGUAAUCGGAUUAUAAAUCGGAUAAGUAAUUUAAGAGAAACUUCUCUAAGAAGAAAAAAAAUACAUAGAUAUUGAGUGUACUAGCUUUUUUUUUUUUGGAAAGGAGGGUGUCACUCCUUAGCACUAUCCAACUAGCACUCUCGGUGUAGUUAAAAUAGAAUCUGGCCUGCUACUACGACUGCAAGUUUAUGAUCGACUGGCGAUCAAUACUCACACGCACAGAGAAGCCGCAGACCGCACAUUCACUCAAAGUGUGUGCAAAACGUGCAUGUUUAGGAUUCGCUUUUGGCCAGCGAAUGUGCAAGCUUUGAUUCAUCAUAUUUACGUACUGCAAGCAAAUACUCCAUUUGGUCAGGAUUCGCUGCAGGACGGCCGCGCGGCACACGGCUGACACGAGCGCACGCUGCGCGAGCGGCGAACGUGCAGAAAACACCGUUCAAUCGAUGCGCCCGGCCACGCGAUGGCCAGGCGUAUGACACGCACACGCUCGUGACAGCGCGAGAUAUCAUCAUAUCAAGCGGCCGAACUGCCAAAAUACCGUACUCCAACACGAGAUGAUUUCAAUCUCUCCCCGCUCCGCUAAUCGUUUGCAUACCGAGAUUAAAAAACUCCGACCCCCGGUAUGUGUGGCCGAAGUUCUCUUUUGUAAAUUGUAAUUAGGAGUAUUUUGGUAAGGGAUGCAAUGGGAUGUGAGUUUUAAUCUCGGAUCCUCGGGAGCGGAAUUUCGUUUGUCACUUUUUUCAAGCGAGGGCAAAAGGAGAGGCCAGAAUUUUUUGUAGGGAGGCGAGGGGGUUCGGACUCCGGAGUAUUGUUCCCCGAACUCCAUGGAUCGCAUCGGAUGGUCGGAUUGACACCUCGCACGGUCGCACCUACCGCGCGCGGAAUCACCACUUGACGGCUUCACCCCACGCCACUCCUUAACCAGCGAGCGUAUCGGAUGGCCACUCCUUCACCAGUCAGCCGUGCUCACACACGACUGACACGAGCGGCGAAUGUGCAAAAAAAAAAAAAAAGACCGUGGAAUCGACGUGCCCGGCCAUGCGAGUACUCGGUGUGUAUAGCCCAUUCGUGACACUACGAGUACGAGAUAUCAAACCAGCCGAACUGCCGCAAAUACCUAACACGUAUGGGUACGGCAAUACGAAUCCCUGCAAACGCGACGUUCGAUCGUAUCGUAUGUACGGUGUGCUUCAGAGUUCAGAAGAGCUCGCGAGGCAGCUGCGUCGUGCAUUUGUCCAUUGUCUCUGGACGGGAUGGACGUGUGUUUGCGGCUUGCAGAUACGAUUUGGCAUUUUUUGCGCAUUUGGUAGCGAUGUUUGAUAAGCUAUGGAUUAGCAUAACUGUGCAUGAUUUGGUAGCGAUGUUUGAUAAGCUAUGAAUAUAUAUGUGCGUGGCAUUCAUUUCUACGCAAGGAAAACGUGUCGUGCCGGUUUUUACACGGGAUAAACGCGUCAACUUAAUUACUUAGCACUCGUAUGUGAUAUGUGGCCGACAGGGACUCCUGAAGAAACGAACCAAUGGCAAGUGGCAACCGCACGAGAGAAACGUGUGGAAUUGGGACAGAGACACACACGGAGCCAUGGCAAGCUGGAUCGAUCUCUAAUUGCAGUUUCCGGUAAAUCACGAAAUUAAAGCCCAUGGGCUUAGCUCGUUUAGAGCACCACGAGCAGAAACGGACGGGCUUUAAGGCCGAUAGGCCCGGCUGAAUGCUACGUUGCGACUACUACCAUUCACAGAGCCGAGUCUCCAUCGAGCUAGUUUUUAGUUAUUUUAGUUAUUUUUACAAACGAGGGUACGGUGGUUUAGGGGCUGUUCAGGUUGAUGUCAUUUUUAACCAUAUUAUUUUUGACAUAAUUGUUAAAAAUAUAUCUACGUUUAGUUUGUUGUCAAACUUUGAUAAAUAUAUAAGAAAUCCUGCCAAAAUUUGUAAGGUUUAUUUUAGCUACAAUCUAAACAGUUACUUAAUCUUCAAUCCACGAAAGCCAGAAUUUCUAUUGUUAAUUUUCGAUCUAGAGAAAGGCGGUUGGAGUUGGCCUGGUUUAUUAAUUACGUACAUCGAGAGAGGGCACAAGUCGGAGUUUUCGGGUCUAUUCAUUUUGAUGUCAUUUUCAGCCAUACUAUUUUUUUUAUAAAGUUGUAAAAAAAUAUCUACGUUUAAUUUGUUACCAAAUUUGGUAAAUACAUAAGAAAUCUUGCUAAAAUUUUAGCAAUAUUACCAUCUUGCCAAAAUUUUAGCAUUGCCAAAAUUUGGUAAGAUUUAUUUUGACUACAAUAUGAACAUGCCAUUCAUCUCCCCCAUUCAUCUCCGAACCCCCCCCCCCGGGAGAUGGAGUCCCCAUGGAUCACAUCUGGAUCUGGUCAUCGGAUCGAAGCCUUGCACGGAACCAGGCGAGCCACGCAGAAUGCAUACGUGAAACGUACCGAUCCAGCGGUCUACAGGAUUACAACUCGCCCAUACGAUCGAGGCCAAGGGGUUCGGAGAUAAAGGGGCGUUUUGGUUUGAUAUCAAAAUAUUGCCAUACUAAUUUUUUUAGUUUAAAUAGUAAAUGUGAUGAUUUGGUUUGAAGCCAAAUAUUUGGUAAUGCCUAUACUCAGUUUGUCACAAUUCUAGAAUAUUCUUCAAAACAAUUUAAAAUUGGCUCUCAAUUGGCAUAAAUCUAAAGACACCCAUUUACAAUUCUACCCUACCAAAAUAUUGGUAGUGCUAAAACUUGCCUAGGGUUCGGCACUACCAACAUAUUGGUAGGGUGCUAAACCAAACAAACCCAAAAACUCCGAACCCUAGGACGGAUGAUUGAAUCGAGGCCUUGUGCAGAAUCAUCCCUGCGAGCCGAUCGGAUUGGAUCCCCCACCUUUCUGGAGAGGAUUCUACGCGCAGUCAACACACACAAGUCGCUGGCCAUGUCGUGCACUGGCGGAGGUAUAUUUUCGAUGCUUGGCCGACAGUGAUACAGGCAUAAAGCCUACCAGGCUACUAGCGCUGCAAGUUUGUGAUCGAAUAAUGACGAGUACUCACGUGUACAGAGAAGGCGCACAGCGCAGUACUCAACUCAAAUUGUGUGCAAAACGUGCUUGUUCUACUACCAAUACUCACCGAAUCAAAGUUUUAAAACAAAUACUCACCGAAUGGCACGUUGAAUCGAGAGGAUGCGGACCUCCACGUCGCCCUCUCGCGCGGGCGGCACGGAGGGCAAACCCUAGCCCCCGCCGCCCCCUCCCUUCCUCUCCCACCCCUCGCCGCCGCCGGAGCGCGCCGACAGAGUUCCGCGCGGCCAGUCGUGAGGGCGGCGGCGAGGCCUUUCCCCGGCGACGCGACGGCUCAGCACGAGGACGACGACGCGGCGCGCGAUGGGCGGGCGACGGCGACGGCGCGGCGCGAAGUUUCGGAUCCGGCAGUGCCGCCACCGGAUCUGGCACCCCCGUGGCUGGAUUCGGCGCCCUGCCGCUGGACCUGGCCGGAGGCGAGCGUCAUUGCCGUCCGCGGCGGUGUGACGGGGCGCGGAGUAAGUGGGGCGGCGGUGCAUGUGCUGGCGGCCAGCGGGGUGGAGGCCGGAGUGGAUCCGGGACCUAGCGGUCGGAUCUGGCGUUGUCGCCUCGUCGCGUGGCGCGGUGGACGGCGGUGGCAGGAGAGCGGCGCUGCGUCGAAGCGGCCCCGGCGCCGAGGGCGGGUUCCGGCCGACAUGUGCCUAGGGCGGCGUGCGACGCAAGGACGGUAACGGUGGUCGGUGGCCCAGCCCUCGGUCGAGGCUCAGGGGCCUGCGUGCCUCCGGAGAUGCCUUGGCCGGUGGUGCGACGACUUGGCGGUGCGUCCUGUGGGUGCCGUCGCCACCGCACCCUCGUCUUCCUCUUCCCCUCCCCCUAGUAUCCUCGUUUGUCUAGUAUCCUCGUUUGUGUGCCCUCUUCCCCCUAGUUCCAAACAUCACUAGUGAUCUUGCCCUUCAACUUCUUCUCAAUCUAGCGUGCUUGUUUGGAAAUUGUGCUCCUCUAGUAGCUCGGAUUGUUGCGGUUCUAUGCCCUCCUCCAAAGUUGCCGUUGAUGUCCUUCCUCUGUAAGAAUCCCCUUGGCCAUUUCUCCUUCUGUCUAGCCCCUGCUCGUCUACACCCUCUUCCUCGAGAUGUCCAGGACCGCAAGGAUCAGUGUUUCUCCCUCCUUUGAGGCUUCCUUCCCUUGAAUAGCGUUGGAGAGAGUUGAUCUAACAAGCAACUUGAUAAAGCCUGAUUAAAGAAGACUUAAUGCGGGUGGCCUCGAGCCACAACCUUCAGUGGCCCUCCCUCCUUUGGGGCUUCCUUCCCCCAAAGGGCGUUGGCGAGCUCUGAUCCAAACAGCAACAAGAUCAAGUCAGCUUCUGGAUAGCUUCAUGCGGGUGGCCUUGGACUUCAACAGCAUUCCCUUGGCCUCUCUUCUCUUCCGACAUGCUUGUGGCUGUGUGAGGAAUUGGAUGUUGAUUAGUUGGGGUUUAGCAGUAGGUUUGGAAUUUGGCAAGAUAAUUUUGCAUGUGUCGUUCAUCAAUUGUAAUCUUUAGGAGGUUUUUUUUCUCUGUUCUCUCCUCAUUGUAUUCUCCAUGUAUUCUGUUCUACUAUCCUCCAGGGUCACUGCGCUUGCGUAGGUAAAGCUUGCCCUGUGUAAGAUCAUUUGGCUCAAUAUAUUUAGGUGGGGAUUCUCUCCCCCCGUGAUUUAGUAAAAAAAAAAAAUACUCACCGAAUCUCUUAGCUUUUCGGAGAGGAUUUGCUGCCGGUCGCCGCUACCUCGUGGCGGUGACAUGGACUGGAGUCACUGGACGGCCGCGCGGCACACAAGCGCACGCGCGCCGCGAGCGGCGACCGUGCAAAAGAGAAAAAAAAACACCAUUCAAUCGCCAGACGUAUAACAUGCACGCACACGCUCGUGACACGGUGAGACGAUAUCAUCAACAUCAAGCACCCGAACUGCCGAAAUACUGUACCUAACACGAGAUUAUUUUUUAAUCUCCCUCUGCGCAGCUAAUCGUAGCACGUAUCUAACUAUGCAUGGUUUGCAUACCGAGAUUAAAGGAAAUGGCUAUACAUGUUACCCGUGCCAUGUGUACAACCUGCAUUCGACUAACAUGCACAAGCAUAACUUUUGCUUGCGUGGUCCUACAUAGAGAGAAACCGAUCAUGGUGAUUGGUGGACGUAGCAUGGUUGGACGCAUGUUGUAUACAACACAGUUGUACGAACAGCAGGACUGCAGGAGUUGAGAUUAAAACUCCGACCCGCAAAGGCUGAUCGAAUUUUAUUUUUUUUUUGCCGUUAGGAGUAUUUUGGCAAGCGAGACAAGGGGAUGUGUUCUCAAAAAAGACAAGGGGAUGUGAGUUUUAAUCUCGGAUCCUCAGGAGCGGAAUUUCGUUUGCUAUUUCUUUAAGGGAAGAGGCAUUCAUAGGCGUCCAGAACAUUUUGUCGUUCCGUUUUUCAUUGUUUCAAGCUGAUGCAAGGGGGUUGGGAGUUUUAUUGUCCGACCCCCAAGCCCAAGGGAUCGCAUCGGAGUCGGACAGACGGAUCGGCACCUCCACCAGCAGGCUGCGCGCGGCGAUUGUGCAAAAAACACCGCGGAAUCCACGAGCCCCGGCCAGCCAUGCGAGUAUGUGACAGCCAAGCGUAUAGCCCAGUGACACGACGAGAUAUCAAACAGCCGAACUGCCGAGUUACCAAACACGGAAACACGAAUCACUGCAAAUAUGGUGUCCUAAUUCAUAAGAGCUCGCUUAAUUGGAACCUUUUUCUGGUCGCCUUUUCCCAGCCGAAUUUUGACUCGCAGCUCAUAUACGCCUUUUCAGGCUACGUAGAAAGAGUGGAAGACUGCUUCCGACGUACUAGUAGCAGACAAAAGAACGGCGUAUUAGAGUACUCACAAUGUCUGAUCAGGCAGAGCUUUCAGGGUUCAACUAUUCGGAAACUGGAUAGCCAAAGCCCAAAACACAGGUCCACGGCAAGCUACUGGCCACACUGGCAAGCGAAUCAGCGAUUGGCUACAGCUCUCUGCUCGGCAUAUAGGCCGGCCUAGCUAGUGGCACACAAAAGCGGGCCGCACUGGUCAAGACAUUUCUCCAGAGACUGACCGUACGUCGUCGUCGACGCCGUCGCCAAUAUUUGAUUGGUGACCGGUCCUGCUUGGCAACCUUGUACGUAAGGGUGUAAGUGGGUAGGCUUAUGAACCCAUUUCUAAUAUAAAUAAACAGGUAACUCAUCGAUUAUCCGUUUAUUUGUACUAUAAGUAAAUUUAUAGAUUUAUUCGCUUGCACACUUACCUGUAACAUCGAUCCAUAUUCUUGAUCGUUCGGAUGCAUUCAUUUACCACUGCAGUAGAAGUUUGUAUACUUCCUCCGCCUUAAAAUAUUAUGAAUUUACUACGAGUCUGUAUUGGAAGAUGCAUUAUAUUCAUUUAAAAUUCUUUACAUUUUAGAACGCAUAAAGUACUUUGUAGUACGUGGCUAUAGAAGAGGGCCUUGUCCACAUCGCGAGGACCCGUUCAUCCCAGGCAUGCUGGUGAUGACAACGAAAUCAUCCCGAUCUCUCUCGACUCCUCCGGUCCUCCCCCGAUAAUAAUCAACAAGAUUAUAUUUUACUCCCUCCGUCUCGAAAUAUUUGGCGCCGUUGACUUUUUUAAACAUGUUUGACCGUUCGUCUUAUUAAAAAAUUUAAGUAAUUAUUAAUUCUUUUUCUAUCAUUUGAUUCAUUGUUCAAUAUACUACUAUUAUUCAAGUUUUUGAAUAAGACGAAUGGUCAAACAUGUUUAAAAAAAGUCAAUUGCGCCAAAUAUUUAGGGACAGAAGGGAGUAGUUCUGAAAUGAAAAACAUUACUCCCAUUUUACCCUACCCUCUAGAAUUGUCUGCCAUAGAAUGUUGUUCAGCUACACAAUAAAACGAUCAAUGUCCAUCCGCCCGGUGCUACUGCACGGUAGAGUACUUCAGCAACCCAAUGUCCACUCGGUAUGAUCUUCAUCUAGAAGGAACUGAAUAGAGGCGCGGCUGAGCUUCUUAUAUCCUAUGCUUUGUCUCUCAUAACUGAUAUAAGCCGUAAACGGUUUAUCAACAACUAAAAAAUUAAUCUAUACAUAAAUGUUUUAUAUAUUGGCGUGUUCGGAUGAGAGUUUUGCAGCAGCGUUGCGGCUGCAGAAUGGCUGCAGCUUGCAGCGAUUUUCAACUGCCGCAGGCAAUGGGUGCCAAACACUCACCAUGUAUCCUUAUCGAUUUAAAAACAGAUACUAAGAAUAGACUAUGAUUAAAAAAAUCUCAAAUCAAAAUAAAGAAUUAAGUUUCAAAUUUAAAUUUUGAUGGCAACUUAUAAGCUGAAACACACACACAAAAAAAAGUAGACAUGUAGCAACACACAACUGUUGAACGAACAACACUGCUACCAUAGGUGCCGGUUCCUAAUGGCCCAUAGGUCCGGAUUUUCAUCCGACAUCAAUUAGUCGGCACCAAUAAUAACAACCGACAUCUAUAACGAAAAUAGAACCGGGACCUUUACCAUUGCUCGAGCCAGAGAGAGAGAGAGAGAGAGAGCCGGCUCGAAUUCGAGAAGAACUCACCAAGCGCCGUCACCGGGCAUGCGCCCCAAACCCCAAAAUCAUCCACAAAUCAUCAACAAAAUAAAUUGAAUCACAUAAUGAACAUAUUCAACAACAAAUUCACACAGACAUCAACAAAAAAUCUACAAUAGACUGGGGAGAGGCGUAGAGGGGAGGGCGCCACCGCUGCCCGCCACCUGUCGCCUCCCCUCCCGCCGGAUCCAGCGAAGGGGAGGGCGCCGUCGCAACCCAUCAGCUGUGUCACACCCUGAAGUUUCCCCCCCUUUUCUUGCUUUAAAAAUUGGUUAAAUAAAUUGCCCGAAGAAAUUAUCUUCAUUAACCUAGAGCUAAAUCCCUAGUUAAUAAAUGCAAUUAAUAAUCAGAAAUAGCGUGGUGGAAUUUUUCUUGAGUUCCCCAUGCUCCAAUGCAUUAACAAGAUUUUUAGUGGAAUUUUCAGAGCCUUGGAAAUAAUUUUAACCAAUUAAAAAUCACCAAAGUGCAAUUUUAAAUCCCAGGAAAAAUCCUUUCUUCUUUUUCUUUUUCUUUUCCUUCUUUUUUCUCUAUUGGGCCGUCGGCCCACUCCCUACCGCGCUCGGCCUCCUUCCUUUGGGCCGGCCCGUUCCCCUUUCCCCUCUCUCCGGGACGCUGACAGGUGGGGCCCACCUGUCAAGUCGUCCCCUUCCUCCAGCCGCCUACCCCACGACGGCAACCGUCGCCGAAACCGUCCGCGCCGCCGCCUUCUCCGCUCCACGCCGCGCCCCCACUCCGCGUCCCCACGUCGCCGCCCUCCCCGCCAUUCCCGCCCGCACGCGCGCCCGCAAAUGGGCGGGAUUCGAUUUGAAUCCCCCCCACUCUCUCUCUCUCCCCCCACGUCGCCGGCCAAAUCGGGGGGUUUCCCGGCCAUGUCCACCCCUCUCGAGCCCCUAUAAAGCUUCCCCGCAUCUCCCUCUCCCUUUUCCCCUUUUCGCCGCGCUCUCCCGUGCCUCCUACCGCCGCCGCUUCCGGUCACGCGCCGCAGCCGCUAGAGCCGCCGCCGCGCCAAGCCGCCGCCGCCAUUAGCAUUGCCGCCGCGUGAGCCACCUCGGCCGCCGUUCGGUUUCCGCUAAACCCCACCGGAGCCCAGUUCUCCUCGCACACCGGUGAGCUAUCCAUUCUCCUUCGUCUCCGGCCAACAAUGGUGGCCGCCGUGGUCACCCUCUCUACUCCUAAUCCUUCUCAACUCCCUCCGUAGGUGCCGCCGCCGCCCGUCCGCCCCUCCUUAUCGCCAGGUCAUCGCCGCCACCUUCAUCCUCCGCUCCGGCCGCCAUACUCGCCGGUGAGGAUCCCCCCUCCCUCUUCCCCUCUCUCUCGUUUGCGCCGACUUUCUCCACGAGCUCGCCGUCGCCUUCGGUCGACGCCGCCGUCCUUUACCCUGUCCGCCGUCGCUUCUUGCGCCGCCGAUUGCCGUCGCCGGCGACCGUGCGCGUCGCCGCCGGUUGCCAUGGCCGGCCGGCCGGUUUUGAAGCCGUGCCGAGCCGUGCCUAGCUGCCGCCGUGCCGUCCGAUCGGCCUCCCGGCCGAUCCGGACCGUCGGUCCCGUGGACCGGCGGUGGACCACCCGCGUGGUCCCGGUCCACGGUAGACCGGCCACCUUGAGCCACUGCCCGUGGGGCCCACAUGCCGGCGCCCCCUUCCUCUCCCCUUUGAGCCGCUGACCCGUGGGCCCCGCCUGUCGGCGCCGCCCCCCUAGAUGACGUCAGCCCUGGGUAUUAUUGCGCAAUAAUUAAUUAAGGACUUUUUCUUUAUUAGUAAAAACACAGUUUAUCUUCUAAAAUUCAUAAAUAAUUCAUCCGAGCUCCGUUUAAGUCCAUUCAAGUCUCAGUAAAUCAAGAAAAAUGCAAAGAAUCCAUUAAAAAUGGUUUUGUUUCCUGUUUCAGUAGUCUUAUAGCAUGUUUUUCUUGUGUGCUUUGUUUGUCGCGUUUCGGCCGUUUCGUCGAUCCGCGGUUUCUCGAAGACGUUGCUGAGGUCUCAUCAGUUCGAGAGCAAGGCAAGUCAUGCAAUACGUUUGAUCAUAUUGUACCCAAUUUACCAAUAUCCCGCAUUUCUAUUAAAUGUUGCAUUCUUUUACAAUGUAAUGUGGGAUGAGUCCUAUUCCUCAGCCACAUAUUGGUUACCUUAUGCCAUUGAUAACUUGGGUAUCAAAAUGACUAGAUGUUGGCUUAGGAAAUGCUUAGCCAUGCUUAGUUCAACUAGUACACAAAUGGAGAUCACAUUAUUACAUAGACUCUAACUAUUGGCAUAGCUUUAGAUUGGUGCCACCGCAAGGGUGUCAGUUAAUUAAAAUAUUCUGAAUGGCGGGCUGUGAGUGCAUGGUUUUGCUGGUCGCACCUAUGGCAGUUAAGGACCGGUUCACGGGAAACCCUGGGAGACUUACCGUGCUUACCACAAGCGGGAAUGGGUAACUGCUUGAUCUGAAGUAUAGCUCGACCCUUUCCUAGGCACCGGUGGCGAGGGUGGGCGUGAUGGAAUUGGGUCGGCCGAGGUGUUCGGUUGUCCAGCUGCCGUAUUCACCGCGGCGCAAGAGGGGACCGCCCACUGCCUUUUGAGGGGUGGGGGUGAAACCUUAGCGUGGUGUGGAUGGUUAGGGGAGGGUUAUGUGGAGGGUCUUGUCAUGAUUUCCCCCUUUGCAGUAUCAUGGUGAUACUUCGGGGCAUGGCAACAUGUGUGGAAUCGUGUCUUGUGGGUACAGUUGUACACCUCUGGCCAGAGUAAAACUAUUCGAAUAGCCGUGCCCGCGGUUAUGGGCGAUCAACCAGAUUCACCGUGAUUAGUCUCACCCCUAGUUUAGCUUAAUGAACUGGUGUAGUUCAGGUGGAUGGUUGGGCCUGUUGCAACGUGGUGUAGCGUUGGACAGUGAUUGGUUAAUAUUGAUUAAUUACUACAGCUGUUUUACUGCUUUCAACUACUGCUUUGAAAUGCCUGCUUUAUGCAAAAGAACCCCUAGCUUCCUUUGGUUAUAUCCUGCAUCAUACCUCCUCUUCCGGUAUGACUUGCUGAGUACAGUGGGUAGUACUCAAUCUUGCUCUCUUUUCCCCCACACCAGAGUUGAAGUUCUUCUCAGUUGGAGCCGUCUCAGAGGUUGGUUUUGUUGCUGCCGUCAAGGUUUGCCUGUGGAGUGGAGUCGCCCGCUGCUGAAGUCAAGCUUCCCGGUUUAGCUCGCUUUUAUCUUUCCCGCUGCAUUUGUAAUCUUUUAUAUUUUUGUAAGACGUGGGUCUGUAUAUCAACAAUUGUCGUUUGUGUACCCUGGCUGGUCCUGGACAGGGAUUUAAUGCACAUUCAGCUUAGAAAUUCUGGUGUGACAAGCUGCCGCCUGCCGCCUCCCCUCCCGCUAGAUCCGGCGGAGGGGAGGGCACCGCCGCCGCCCGCCGCCUGCCGCCUCCCCUCCCGCCGGAUCCAGCAGAGGGGAGGCCGCCGCCGCCCCUCUAGCCACAGCCACACGCUGAGAGAUGUGAGAGAGCCGAGAGAGAGAGGGGGGGCAAGAGAGAGAGACAGACGAGAGAUGUAACGCCCCGAUUUUCGUUCGGGAAUAAAAAUCAAUUAAUAAUACAUUUUCUAGAAAUUAAAUAAAAGUUAAAUCAACUUAAUCAAGUGAAUUAUUGAGGGAAUUAAAAAUUUCCUUUAAAAAUUAUUGGCCGGGAAUAUUUUGUAAUAUUCUUUGUGCCCUAAUGUACUCUCCGAAAUUUUCCGUGAAUUUUCGGAGCUCGAGAAAUAGUUUUAAUAGCACAAAGAUCAUUGCAUCAAUUAAAAUAAAAAGAAAACAAAUAAAAUCCUCCUUCCUCUCUUUGGGCCCCUUUCGGCCCAAUCCCUCCUUUCUCUCCGCGGCCCGCGCGCCCCCUUUCUCUCCCUCUCGGGCCGGCCUCCUCCCUCGGCCCGCUCGGCUCUCUCUCUCCCUCAAGUCUGUUCUGCCUCCCCAGCCGGCCUCUCCCUCCCUCUCUCUUCGACAGGUGGGACCCGUGGACCCCACCUGUCAUCCCUUUCUUCCAGCUCCAACUGCCGCCAUGGCCGCCUGAGCCACCCCACGACGCCGCUUCCUCCGCGCGCCUCCACGCUCCCGCGCGCGUGCAGACGUGGUCCACCCCACGUCCUCCCCUUCCUCCACUUUCUCCCCCAUUUCCCCCCCAAAAAUCGGCGCCGUUCGAGCCCCACUCGCCCACGUCGCCGGAGCUCCAUCCGCCGGCCGUUGCCGCCCGCCAUGGCCACGAUCUCCCCCUCCGGGGCCUAUAAAAAUGCACCCCGACCUCCCCUCAUCCGUUUCCCCAACUCACUGCCCCCUCCUGCGCGCUCUCUCGAGCUCCCCACGCCACUCCCGUGUGCCGCCGCACGCCGACGACCCUCCAGCCGCGCGCCGUCGCCGCUUCCGUCGCCCCCGCACUGCGCCGCUGCCACCUAUAGCAUUGCAGCGUCCCACCGCACCCCGGCAUCCGCUCCAUUUCCCCUCCCCGCCUCUGAAACACCGUCGCCACGCGCACCACCUCUCUCCACCGUCUUUACCACCUCCAGCCGCCGCUUGGCGCCGCUCCUAACCACCCCAAGCAGCGCCGCCGCCGCCGCUCGCUUCGCAGCGCCGAGGAGCACCUCGGCCGCCGCUUUUCACGGCCAGGAUCCCGCCGGGACACGGUUCCCCUCGCGCCGGUGAGCAUCUGCCGCCCGUUCUCACCUCCGACCAGCGAUUCAUGCCGCUGGGAGGCCUCUUUCCCCCUCCUAACCUCUCCCCCAUCCUCCCUAGGUCCUUCCAGCCGCCGUCCGCUGGUUCCCGCUCGCGGAACGCCGCCGGGCCGCCGUUCCGCCUUCGUCCCGAGGAGCGCCGACGCCGAGCUCCCCGCCUUUCCCCGCCCCUUGUCGCCGCGUCCUUGGUGAGCUCCUCCUCUCCCUCCUCUGUCUCCCGUGCGCGCUGCCGCGCCGGUGGCCGCCUGUCACGCCCAGAAAUUCCCGAGUAGAAUUCCAAGUAGAAUGUGCAUUAAAAUCCCCAUCCAGGACCGGCCGGGGUACACAAACGACAAUGUUGACAUUCAGAUCCACGUCUUACAAACAUCAUAAAAGUCUUACACAAAUGCAGCGGAAGAAAAGAAAGACGACAGGAGCUACGCCUUGACUAGAACUGCAGCGGGAACACCACUCCACAGGCAUCCUCGACGGCACGGACGAAGCCUACUCCUCGGAGAAACCUUCAUCUGACACACUCUCGUACUCUGGGAUUGGGAAAAGUAGAGCAAAACUGAGUACUACCCACUGUACUCAGCAAGUCAUACCGGAAUAGAGGCAUGAUGCAGGGAAUCAUCAAAGAAGAGCUAAAGUGGUUCAUUUGCAUAAAGCGAGCAUUUAUAAACAGAAGUUGAAAGAUUAAACAGUUGUCACAUUUAAUUAGUAUUAACUAUCCACUGUCCAACGUUAUCCCACGUUGCAAUAGGCCCAACCAUCCACCUAAACUAUCCAAAUUCCAAAAGAUUACACUAGGGUGAGACUAAUCACGGUGAAUCUGGUUGACCGCCCAUAACCGCGGGCACGGCUAUUCGAAUAGUUUUACUCUGAUCAGAGGUGUACAACUGUACCCACAAGACACAGCCCCACGACACGUUACCGUGCGCCGACAUGUCACCACGACAUACCGGAAAGAGGCCGUGACAGGACCCUUCGCAUAACCCCCUCUAACCAAGCACACCACACCUCAGGUUUCACCCCCACUCCUCGCAAGGCAGCGGGCAGUCCCCUCUCGUGCCUAGGUGAAUCCGGAAGCGACAGAGGCCGUCGCAGGGCCCGCCCCGCUCCAUCACGCCCACCCUUGCCUGGAUGCGUCGGCUCGAGGAGAGCUACACUACAAGCCCAGCCGUUGCCCACGCUGGCUUGUGGUAAGUACGAUAAGUUCUUCCAGGGCAUCCCGCGAACCGGUCCUUAACUGCCAUGGGUGCGACCAGCAAAACCAUGCACCCACAGCCCACCAUGUGAUUUAUUUUAAUUAACCAGCAUCAAAGCGGUGGCACUAAUCCAACAAUCUGAACAUUAAUAAGAUUUUCCCCAUUGUGCACUAGUUGAACUAAGCAUGGCUAAGCAAUCCCUAGUCCAAUCUCUAGUCAUGUUAUAACCCCAAGCUGACAAAGGGACAUGGUACAACAAUAGCAUGGCUAUGACAAUAGGUAAACACCCCAUAGUAACAUUAUAAAACAAUGCAAUAUUUGAAGGAAAAAAAUAGAGCAUUUGCAAUAUAGGAUCAACAUGUUCAAGUGACAAGCAUGACUUGCCUUGCUCUGCUGCUGGAGGAACCUCGGCGACUAUUUCGAAGUACACCGGAGCGUCGGAGGAACCGGAAUCUAGCGACAUACAAGGCAAACAUUGCAAACAGGCUAUAAGACUACUGAAACAGAGAACAAAACCAUUUUUAAAGGAUUCUACACAAUUUUCUUGAUUUACUGAGACUUGAAUGGGCUUAAACGGAGCUCGGAUGAAUUAGUUAUGAAUUUUAGAAGAUUCACUGUGUUUAUUACUAUAACAAAAAUCCUUAAAUAUUUUAUUGCGCAAUAUUUUCCCAGGGCUGACGUCAGCACGGAGGGGGUGCGGCGCCGACAAGCGGGGCCCACUGGUCAGCGGCUCAAGGGAGAGCGGUUCACCGUGGACCGGGACCACGCAGGUGGUCCACCGCCGGUCCACGGGACCGACGGCCCAGAUCGCCCUCGGGCCGAUCGGACGGGCGGCGAUAGAGGCGGCCGCCGGGCUCGGCUUGGCAUCAAAGCCGACCGGCCGGCCAGGGCUAGCGGCGGCGGCACGCGCGCGUCGCGUUGCCGGCGACGGCAUCCGGCGGCGGGGCGACGGCGCAAAAGCGACGCGAAAGCGGCGGCAGCGGACGGCGGCAACGACCGAAGGUGACGGCGAGCGCGAGCGGCAGCGACGCACGGGGAAAUGGGGAAGAAAAGGAAAGGGGAGGGAGUCCUCACCGGAGGGGACGGCGGCGUCCGGCAACGAGGAGCGACGGAGGGAGGUCGACACGCGGCGGACGGCGACCGGGACGACCUAAAGAGCGAAAAGAAAGAGGUUAGAGAGGAAGAGAGGGGCCAUAGGAGACGGGAAUGCCGGCCGAAAGCGGCGGACAUGGCGACCCUCACCGACGCACGAUGGGAAUGGCGCUCCGGCGACGAACCUCGACGAAGGAGGGGUGGACGGGGUGGAUCUCGGCCCCGCGAACCCGACGGCGGCGACGGCGCGGUGCGGCGGCGAGCCUAGCGGCGGCUAACGGCGGCCGGAGUAGCGGAGACGGCGGCGGCGAGUGGUUGCACGGCGCGGGAGCGAUGGGGAGCACGAGGGAGUUCGGCGAAAUGGGGAAAAAGCGAGAGGGAGCGAUGGAGAAGCUUAAAUAGGGGAGGGGAGGGCCGGACGUGGCCGGGAGAGGUGGGGCUUCGCCGGCCAACGUGGGAAGUGGGGGAGGAGAGAGAGGCGGGAUUCGAAAAUCGAAUCCCGGCCAUCUCGGGCGCGGGCGCGGGCGCGAGAGAGAGGGGAGUGGGCGCGGGAGAUGCGGCACACGCGCGGACGUGGCUGACGUGACCCGGAGAAGGCGGAGGCGUGGGCGCGGCGGCGGUUGCGGGCGCGGCGGCGCCGGCUGGAGGAAGGGGACGAGUCCGACAGGUGGGGCCCACUUGUCGGCGUCCCGGGGAGAGAGGGAGGGGCGGCUUGGGCCGGCCCACGAGGAGGAGGGCGCGUGCGGCGGGGUUGGGGAAGGACCCGACAGGUGGGCCCCACCUGUCGGCGACCCCGGAAGAGGAGGAAGGCGGGGCGGCCUGGCUGGGCCUCGGCCUGCGGCCGGCCCAGCAGGGAGGAGGGGGAGGAAAGGAGAGAAUGGGCCAGCGGCCCAUUCGAAAAAAGGAGGGAAAAAGAAAAAGAAAAAGGAGAAAAGGUUUUUUCCUGGAAUUAAAAUAUUGCUUGCUCAAUUUUAAUUGGUUAAAAUUAUUUCUAGGGCUCUGAAAAUUCCACUAAAAAUCCUGUUAGAGAAUUUCGACAUGUAGAACUCAAGAAAAAUUCCACAUGCCAAUUCCGAUUAUUAUUUGCAUUGAUUUAAAAGGGUUUACUCUUGCUUUGCACCGGUAUUUUCUUAGGGUCAUUUAUAAAUUAAAUUUAGGCUUGGGAGGAGAACUUCGGGGUGUGACACCGCCGCCGGCGACCACCUGGCCGUGCGCCGCCGCCCCGCUCGCCUGGGCCGCCCGGACCCCCCUUGUCGCGCCGCGUCGAUCUCGUGCGCCGCCGCCGCCCAUGCGUGCCGCCUCUCCCGCGCCGCCCGUCGGUCGCCGUCGCCGGAGACCGCGCUACCGCCGCGCCAUGGCUCAGCUAGGCCGGCUUUGUGCCGUGCUGUGCCCCAGCCGCGCCGCCCCUGGCCGCCCGAUCGGCUUGGGCCGAUCCGGACCGUCGGUUCCCGUGGACCGGUGGUGGACCGGCGCCCUUGUGCCGCUGACCGGUGGGGCCCGCUUGCCGGCGCCGCCCCUCCCCCUUUGAUGACGUCAGCAACCGUCUUUUCCUUUGGAAAAAUAAAUAAUAAUUGCGUCAUAAUUCGUUAAUAAUUCUAGAAAUCCAUUUAAAUGGCUCAAAACUUCUAAAAUUCAUAUCUAAUUCAUUCGAACUCCGAAUUGAGCCGUUCAACUUGCAAAAUUCAUCUAAAAUUGAGCUCUACAUGUUUGUUUAGUUUUUAUGUACUGUUUCCUUGGUUUUUAUUAGAGUUUUUCCUCGUUUUGCGUGCCAGCGUGUAGUUCCCGUCGUUUCGGAAGAUCGCGUUCGCAAGGAUAAGAGUUCAGAAGAUCCAAGUGAAGAAGCAAGGCAAGUCACACAUUCCCUUUGAGCAUGUUGAUCCCAAUUUAUAAAUGUUUUACCGUUUACAAAUAAAUAUGCAUGUUUUGCUAAUUACAUGGGAUCCGGGUAUUACCUAUCUGCUCGCUUGUGCCAUGUUUACUUGAUAUCUGUUCUUUGUCAACCUUAGAUAAUGAAUCGACUAGCUCAUGUUACUUAUGUGACCUAGCUAGAACUAUAUGCUUAGCCAUGCUUAAUUACCACUAGCUCAGUUGAUGGGAUAAUUACAGUAUUAGACCUUUUUAGUAUCAGAGUGAGCUGCGUGCUCGAGACAUCUGGCCAUGCUUCAUGGUCGUAAUUAUCCAACUAAAAUGCGACUGAAUGGUGGGCUGUGGCUGCAUGGUUUUGCUGGUCGCACCCAUGGCAGUUAAGGACCGGUUCGCGGGAUGCCUUGGAAGAACUUAUCGUACUUACCACAAGCCAGCGUGGGCAACGGCUGGGCUUGUAGUGUAGCUUUCCUCUAGUCGACGCAUCCAGGCAAGGGUGGGCGUGAUGGAGCGGGGCGGGCCCUGCGACGGCCUCUGUCGCUUCCGGAUUCACCUAGGCACGAGAGGGGACUGCCUGUUGCCCGCUGGGGACGGGGGUGAAACCUGAGGUGUGGUGUGCUUGGCUAGAGGGGGUUAUGCGAAGGGUCCUGUCACGGCCUCUUUCCGGUAUGUCGUGGUGGCAUGUCGGCGCACGGAAACGUGUCGUGGGGCUGUGUCUUGUGGGUACAGUUGUACAGCUCUGAUAAGAGUAAAGCUAUUCGAAUAGCCGUGCCCGCGGUUAUGGGCGGUCGACCAGAUUCACCGUGAUUAGUCCCAUCUUAAUAAAUCGACCCAAUACACUGUAGUUCAGGUGGGUUGGUUGGGCCUGUUCAACGUGGUGUAGCGUUGAUCAGUGGAGAUUUAAUGUUACUUUAAUUACUCAACAGUUUUACUGUUUUGCUCAAUAAAAUGUUUUAUAACCGCCUUUAUGCAAAUAGCCACAAACCAUCCUUGUAUCCCCUUGCACAUCUGCAUCGUUGGUGUGGCUUGCUGAGUACGGUGGUUGUACUCAGUCUUGCUUUUAUUCCCCCUUUUCAGAAGUGUAGUACUUCUGAGCUGAAGACGAAGUUAGAGGACCAAGGCUCAGACCCCAGUUGAGUUUUGCCUGUGGAGUGGAGCUGAAGCCCCGCUAGGAUCGCCUUUUUCCGCUGCUGCUGCUUUCGUUUCGGUGCGAGGACUAAGUGCCUCUUUUGUAAGUAUUUUACGCUUUAUUUACGUUUGGAACUGUAUAUUACUUGUCGUUUUGUGUACCCUGGCUGGUCCUGGACAAGGAUUUAAUACACAAAAUAGUCUGGAGAUUUGGGCUAAAUUUCUGGGCGUGACAAGAGAGAUGGAGAGGGGAUAAGGUUCACUCAUAUAGGGGAUAAGGCCGAUGCGUCGGCCUAGAUUGGCUCGGCAGCUCGGCUCAGUUUGGAUAGGUGCCGGUUUUUUUAAAAAAACUGAUACCUAGGUGCCUUUUUAAUUAACCGACACCUUUAAUAUAUUAAAGGUGCUAGGUUUUAAAAAACCGGCACCUAUACUAUAGAUGUCGGUUUUUCUUUAGAACCGACACAUAUAGUUGCUUAAAUGUGUCGGUUUUAUGUGUUUUCAGCCUGUGGAGGAGGUAAAAUCACUAUAGGUACAUGUUUUAGUUGUUCCCGUACCUAUAGUGCUGAUUUUUAUGGAUUUUUUUUUAGUAGUACACCGUCAUGACUUUUGCAAUGCAUGAUAAUAAUACCACACCGUUUCUAGCUACCAAACGGCUCCAAAGAAUAGGUCACAUUGUCAUCGCCGGAAAUAUUCUCCAACCGAGAUGCUCUAACCAGUAACAAGUAAUCAAGAACCACCUGCUACCAAGGCUACCAGCGGGCUCGUAGCAUCUAGUACUCCCUUAGAGGGGAUAUUAAAGAUAAUAUAAAAGAGCUGAAAGAGUUACUCCCUCUGUCCAAAAAAAAAAAGUUAAAUCUAAAACUAGAUGUGACACAUUAUAAUACAACGAAUCUGUACAGAGGUAUGUCUAGAUUCAUAGUACUAGGAUGUGAGGAUGUGUCACAUCCAGUACUAGAUUGGUUUUUUAUGGGACGGAGGGAGUACAUAUUAAAUUUAUGUUUAGAUGGAGGAGAGAGAGGACAGAAGAAAGAAGAAUGUGCUACAAAUUUAUAAUCAUGCACCGGUAGCACGGGCUAUAAUAAACUAUGUGAGAUAUAGAGAUAGGCCAGUUAUUAGUGGAGUGGUGUGUAUGUGUGAUAGAGAAACGCUCACGGGUCUUCCGGCUAGCUCCACAAUUAAGAUGGUGGGCUAACCGGCCUAGGUUUAAAGUCUCACCCGUUCUAUUUAUUUGAGAUUAUAUUAUGUCAUUCCUUAAUAUUCGUGUUCUUUUUGUGUGUAUGUGUGAUAGGCCAGUUAUUAAUGGAGUGGUGUGUGUGCGCGCACGCGUGCAUACACUACUUUUGAGCAUGCUCUUGCUCUCUCUAACCCAAAAUACGAAGGUUUUUAAAUUUUUGCACGGCGAUUAAGAAAUAUGUGUUAAAUAUAGAAAAUUUUUGAUUGGUUGAGAUAAAAAAAUAAGUGAAAAGGAGAGAUGGUUGUGGUUGAUUGAGAUGAUAGAGUAGGGUCUUAAGAAAAGAGAUGAUAGAGUAGGUGGAGUACUAUAUUAUAGGAUAAUUUCGAAUGCUACUCCCUACAUUCUAAAAUAUAGUUAUCGAUAGUGUCCCAAUUAUGUCUUGAACUAUAGUUAUUUCUCCAUAUACCUUCUUAUCUAAACUAAUCACAAUAUCUCCCAUGUUUAAUCCUCCGUCUAUUCUCUUUUCUCAUUCACAACAAUCUUCUAUUUAAUUAUAGCUAUUUUCGUAGUACAUCUGUCUAACUCUAAAAAUGAUUAUAUUUUAAAUAUAAUAGAGUACAAGUUAAUAUAUUAAUAUAUUUUGAGAUUGAGAUAGUACUUUAACUCGAAUCAGUGGUUUAGAUUUAGCAAUGUUGAAAUAAUCAGCAAUGCUGAAAUAUUCGAAGAGCUAAACGUCAGGUGAGGCUAGUCAAAACGAUAUAUGAUUUGAUUAGUGUUUAUAUAUAUAUCAUCAAGCAUGAUCCAUCACAUGCAUUGCGUACUUACUCCCCUUAACUAUACUUUUUUCUGCAGGGUACUCCUCUUAACUAUAUGAUACACAUUCUACCGGACUCUGAAGUCGUCAGAGAAGAAUAAUCAAGCCUCACCUUCCAAGUAAUACACAUGCUCAGUUAAGAUAUCAGAUCGGUGUCUGACUAUCUUGAGACCCCCAAGCAAAUCAUUUGACAAACCGGCCAAUCGGUCAGUCGACGAUCGGCAGUGCAUGUUACUCCCCGGAUCUUACAAUAUUAAUUGCACAUGUCCACGUCGACCGCGGAUGCAAUCAACCAAAUUUGUCAAAAAUAUAUAUUGCUCCAUCGGUUGAUCGACCGAAUAGUAAAUCACGUCCUGUCGUCGAUUAUUUAUCUAUUGAUUCUGUUUCGUCGCCAAACAACUCCAUCGACUUUGAUUAAUUAGUGUACACUAUACUCCUUGAUUCUCCAUUAAUUAGUGUUUGUUAGGCUAAUAUAUGCUGCAGUUUCUUAGAAAAUCACGAGCUAGAGGUAGCAGGUUUCUGAUCAGAAGCAGGCAAGAAACUAUUGACCAUAUGCAGACUUACAGAGCUUCUCUGCUGCAGUUCAAGUGGUUUUAUGCCAAAUUACAUGAUAAUUUCGUAGCUCACGUGCACUUUAAAUCGACCUGCUGAUUAAGAUAUUAGUAAGCAUGGUGUCACUGUUCAAUUUAAUCAUACAGGGGGAAUUUGAUGUAGAGAUUAAUUAAGCACUUAGUUGUUCAUAAUAUGCAUGGAACAUGCAUUGCAGCAGAAAUAUUCGAGGGCAUCUAUCAUCGAUUAGAAAAUUUCUUUAGUCGAUGGUCUGACCGAAUCUCACUAAUACGGGCUGACGGUUGAUGCAUUAUUGAGGAUCAUAAAUUCGUACAAAUAAUGGACGAUUAUCUGCAUAAACUAGUUUGAAAGAAAGGCAUUUUUGGUGGCAUCUAACUGAACGACGGGUUGGCUGAGAUUCUAACUGGACAGAGACGCGUGAAACUAAAGCUUUCAGUUUCACGUAGAAGACGCCAUUGAUUUUAACUGACAAACACGCAUCAAAUUUGCGAAAUUCUGAUUCGCUAUGUAGUCAUUUCGUAGUCGUAACAUAGAUUCAAACGCAGGAAAGUUGAGCACUUUAAGCAUCCUGACCAACUACACUGAUGGAGCAGUACAAUUUCAGUACUAAGUAGGACCGAUCAGUAAAGAAGAUUCAGCAUGGAACUGAGACCAAACUUCACCAAACCGUCCGGAGAAUGUUCUUGACGAUGAAACUUCCGGAAAACAGAGAGAAACGAAAAGAGGGCGAUAAAAAUGCGCAUGGCAACAAAAUUAUUUUGGAGCAAUGCGUUUCACGUCAGCAUGCAGGUGAUGGACCAGUGAACGACUUAAGGGCUUAAGGCUGCACAUGAAUUGCUCCAUGGAAGACUUUGAGGCAUGCUGCAUGCAUGCACUUGAUCGAUCGAUUGGCUCUCCAUGCCUCCAUGCACGUCUGAAGUCUGAACGCUGCCCACGAAAUGAACACAGUUUGUGCCAUAUCAAAAUGCAGUUGCAUCAGCUGCAAAUUAAGCUUGCACCCAUACUAGCUAACAACCAGUAUGGUCGAUCUGAACCCAUAAUAACAUUAUCCCCAGCAAGAUAGACAUAAACGUACACACAUGCAGGCAUGCUCGCCGCAACUGCAUACACACGGCCGGCAUCGACGCCCCAACCACCCGAUUAGUAGCGACACGACGACCCACCUCUGUCGCCAUCACGAAAUCGCAUUCGGUCGAUCGACCGCUCGCGAGUCGCAAACCGACGAAACCUGAUCAUCAAACCGAUCGAUCGCCCGACGAUGAGGACGUUCUCGAGGCGUUAUUCGACCAAACAGGCCGGAGCAGCGCAGCGCAGCGAGCGAGCGCGGGGCCAAGAAAAAAACAAAACGGAGAUAUGGCAGCCACCGCGCAAACAGGCAAGGCGGCACGGCCACGCGCGAGCCAUCAAUGCGUGUGCCCAUGUUGGUGGAGACAGUGCACGAGGCAAGUGCGCGGCACGGCAGAUGCGCACCGCACGCAUCGCUGGACUGACGCGCGCGCGCGGCGGGACGGCGCGCGGGGCCAUGGCCUGUCGAGCUCGGCGGUUCGGCGCGGUGGUCACCACCACGCUCCCCUCGGCGGCGCGGUGGCGAGCGAUUUGUAUCGGUUGGUGAGCGCGCGCGCGGGCCGCGGGGGCGUCAAGCUCGGUCGCGGCGUUGGGUUACAGCGGCUGGACACGGCCGUGGCGGUGUGACCGGAUUGGUCCCGAACAGCGAGCAAACGUGCUACCUGUCACUACAGGAAAAAAAAAAUAAAACUGGCCUGUUCGACGAAAAGUAAGUGGGUUCAUUGCACGUAGGAAUAGUAGUACGUGCUGACAUAGAGUCAGAUCCGAUUUCGUAAAAAGAAACCUGAAUUGAUCGGUACAGAAACCAAGUUGUUUUCCUGAUUCGAUGCAUCAAACUAUAGUUGCAUUUUUCGACUUUUCGGCGGGACAAGUAUCCGUACGUCCAUCUUGCGCAGUAUGGGCAGCAUGAUUGGGUGAAACUUCCGUGCGAAUCACCACGCCGCGGGAUGGUGACGAUAUCGGUUGGAAGAACCAACUACAACUAACCGUAGGUUGGUUGGUAGUCCUGGCGACUCACACUGUCCGCCAACCAGAGCUAGAAAUAAUACUACCUUUUAUUCGCCUUUAACAAAACCUGGUUGCAACAUAGCCGGAAAGCUUAACCCCGGCCCGGCCCCUUCUGUCGUCGUCGUUGCUGCUUCUUAAUUUCGCGUCGGCGACAAUGGCAGGACCGACGGGAUCGUGGAUGACGAUGGUGUAAUAAUCACUAAUAACAAAAUAUCCAAAGCAGCAGAAUUAGACCGUCGCACCGGUAUAUCCGUGUGAAAACACACGGGUACGCACGUAAUUUUCACAUUCUCCUGGAAACGUGGCGAUUUACAGUAUAUAUGUACGGCGUUUCUCAUGUGGCCAAAUUAGCGUGAUACGAUCGGUCGCCAUGUAUUUCUUGCGCCAUUGCUACGUACUUUACUCGUAUGUAUGUACGUUUGUCCAGAUUGUUAACAAGAGAACGAACCGUAUUUAAACCACGUCGUCGUCGCCUUCCAUAAUGGAAGAGAUCAAAGAUGGCCACUGAUUCAAAAAAGGGAAAAAAAAAACAAGAAAAGGACGAGGAGGAGAGGCAGAGACGGGCACGACGACGCAGUGUGCGUGUGUGAACGUCGCCGCAAAACAGCCCUGUCACGCAACUUGUACUACGAUCACAAUAGCUCAGAUUGGUUUACUUCGUCGAUCGAGGCACAAAACAAAAAGAAGCAAUUAAUUUAACUCAACGGGAGGAGGGAGACAACGUAGCGACGUCAGUGGCGACACCGACGGAUAGUCGGAUACGAUAAAACAAGGUGCUAGCUAGAGCAAGCUGGGGUAAUUAAUUAAGCGCGGGAAUUAAAUUGAUGGAGAAGAAGAUGGACUUGGCCAUCGACGGGAUUUUCGGCUAAAACUUAUAGCGAUGGAUGUGUACACUAGGGACGCGCAGGUGACUGGCCGGAGAGGGAGGAGGAGAUAGGCCAAUCCAUCCAUGGGUUCAGAUGAAAACGAGAGAAGCGACUGCGAAGCGCGGGAGCGGGCGCGGCCACUCAGCCGUAGCCCGUAGGUACGCGCUUUGUCCGCUUCAUCUCCACCUCUCGGGCUCUCGAUCGGCAACACGGACGCCGUUUCCCCGGCCUACUUGCGUGGACGCAGUCCAUGGACAGGGCACUCCACUUUCUACUUGAGUAGGAAGUACUUCCUUUAUUUCGGCCUAGCCUUUUGGAAAUUAUCAUACAGAUAUACACAUAGUGUACAUAUGUGUUCACAGUAGGUGAGGGUACACGUGGACAUAUACGUUUGUACCGUGCUAUUUGAUCAAGUUUAUAGAAAAAAAUAGCAACAUCUACAACAUCAAAUUAGUUUCACUAAAUUUAACAUUAAUAUAUUUUGAUAAUAUGUUUAUUUUGUAUUGAAAAUACUAGCAUAUUAUUCUAUCAAUUUGAUUAAAUUUAAAAAAAUUUAGUUAAGGAAAAAAAUCAAAUGACUUGUAAUAUAAAAUGGAAUAUAAAAUGGAAGGAGUAGGAAGUAGUAGUAGGAAGGGUGCAUGUUCCAGUAGGGUUUCUUUAGUUUAAGAAAAGGUUACUUUAUUAGCAGCCAAUUCACAACCGGGUAUGGUUAUUGACUAUUCUUUGAAGUAAGUUUGCUGGCCAUUUUAUAAAAGCGGUUAGGAACGGGAGAGUAUUAAUUAAGGGUAUGUACAAUUGGUGUAUCAGCCGUAUGUAAGUAGUAAAAUUUUAUCCAAGUUGAAUUUUCACUUACAUGAAAAAUGAGAGAUUGAGGAGAGAGAUAGUUGUAGUAUGUUUAUUUGUUGUCGACCAUGCUUAACAGAGAGCACUACGAUUUUCUUGAUGUGACUAAGUAUAUAUGCAGUCUCAUAUCCUUACAUUUACUAUGGGUGGAUCUGCUAAUCUGAUGUGUUGAGCAUGCAGUAAAAAAUACUGUGAAACGUAGCGUUAGAAUAAUAGACACCUCGUUGCAUAUAUCUUGUUUUGUCAUAAGUGGUCAUUUAAUUUAUUCUUUUUUAACAUACAGAGUUAAAUAUACUUCUGUUUUUUUUUCAAAAAGAAAUAUUUCUCCUAAAAAAAUUCGUUGUCACUUCAACGUUAUAUUUCUAUUGUUUCAAGUUCAAAUAUAUUUUCCUUUCUACAAUAUGAAAUAACAUAGACAUAUACACGAUCAACAAACGGAUUCUCAAUAACAUACUCCCUCCGUCCUAUUAUACAAGGGAUAAUGGGUGUAUGUAACACAUUCUAGUACAAUGAGUCUGAACAAACCGUCUGUCUAGAUUUAUUGUACUAGAAUAUGUUACAUCCAUCCAUUAUCUCUUAUAUUAUGGGAUGUAGGGAGUAGAAACGUAGAAUAAAGAACAUUGUUGCCACGUUGAUAUCUUCUGGAUAUGAAAUUGUUUUCCAUGGAACAGUCUAUCUUGAUAGCUAAAUCUGACGAAUUUAAUCCAAAGAACCUAUUUAUUGUUCUCUGGGUGGUCUUAUCCUUCACAUUGUGGUCCAGUACAUGUGGAAGCAAGGAUUCAUCUAGUGCUUACUUUAAAACUUUAGCCUCCAAAGUUGAAAACUAUGGUAAAAAUUCAUUACUUGCAAGUUACUGAUAGUACUUUACUCUUUGUACAUAUACUCUUUUCAGUACAGCUGAUGCAACCGGGGUGCAAAUUUCUUGUGGAAGUUUCUAAUGAACGGUACUCCCUUUUAUUAAAAGGAAAAGGAUAAGAGGAGGGUCUUAAUCAAUCAUCUAACAAAAGUUGAUGACAUUUGAUUUAGUGAUUACAAUAGCUAAGUUAAAUGUGCUAUAAUAAAAAAAUAAAAGAAAGAAAAGGAGUACUCCUUCAUUUGGUGUACCCAAAAUGAAAGGGAUUACAAAUGACCAAUGUCUUAGAGAUAUAUUAGCUUGAAAACAAAUCUGAAUAUUCUUUUAUUUGGACACAUGCAUACCCGCUGAUCAGGCUACACGCUUUAUCACUAAACCCAUUCACACGUGUAUAUAGUAUUACAUCUAUCCACAAAUAUAAUCGAUUCUAGAUAUGCACAGGAGAAGUACAUAGCAAUGAUGUCUGAAAUGUACGUGUAGGUACUUCCUACUUUCCAUAAAAAAAUAAAUUCUGACUACGAAUAUGAAGAACCAUAUGUAUUAGGGUGUAUUUAGUUCACGCUAAAAUUAAAAGUUUGGUUAAUUAAAAUGAUGUGAUGGAAAAGUUGGAAGUUUGUGUGUGUAGAAAAGUUUUGAUGUGAUAGAAAAGUUGGAAGUUUAAAAAAAAAAUCUUUAGAACUAAACUCGGCCUAAAUUUAUACGCAGGAUUUGAUCUGUUUUAGGAUAGGGAGUCUCCUCAUGACAUGUUUCAUGAGAAGGACCACUUAAUUCUGAAUAUUCUCUUGGACAACGGACAUAAGGUGAAAUACACCACUUAAUUUGCAUUCAUGCUAAUAAAUUACAUCUAUGGUUAACCACAAGACCUAUAACAUCAAAUACCUAGAGUUGCAAAGAAAUCAUCAUCUUUUUUUAGCUUUAAUAAAGACAUACACUAAAGUGGUCAAGAAAAAUAGUAGGAAACCAAUCAGUCCCAGAAGAAUUUUACACAUUCUUCCUUCUUUACUUAUCUGCACAAGACGCACAAGAAAGACCAGGUUAUCUCUAUGUUAGGCUCUUUUUAGUUGCAGGGGUGAAAAGUUUUAGCGUGUCAUAUCGGAUAUAUGGACACACAUUUGAAGUAUAAAACGUAGACUAAUAAUAAAACAAAUUACAUAUUCCGCGUAUAAACUGCGAGACAAAUUUAUUAAGCCUAAUUAAUCCAUCAUUAUCAAAUGUUUAAUGUAGCAACACAUUGUCAAAUCAUGAAGAAAUGAGGCUUAAAAGAUUCGUCUAGCAAUUUACACGCAAUAUGUGUAAUUAACUUUUUUUGUCUAUAUUUAAUACUCUAUAUAUGUAUCCAAACAUUCGAUGUGAUAUGAUAAAAAGUUUAUGUGUGGGAACUAAACAGGGUCUUCUUAGAGUAGAUGUUAUCCCGGUUUUUUAUAAGGAAAAAGAGAAACAGGUACUCUAGGACCAGGCCAUGAUGAGGCCAAGCGGAAUCUGGCUCCUCGAACUUAAGCUGAGCCACAGAAGAUCAGUACGCUGCGUCCACCAACCUUGCACCAGUUGGGCUCGUCCAUGCUCCAUACCCCAUGUUACCCCAUCGCUCAUUCGGCCGCGACAGCGACAGCGUUCCAUUGACCUGACGCGCUUCCCGCUACUAAUACCCGCGAGCUCCACCUCCAUGGCCGCAAAGCACCAUCCUCUCGCAUCACCAAUUCUAACCCUAACGACAACCCUACUCUCUCUCUCCAACAAUCAAAGAUUCGAUGGCCGUGCUGGUGGCGAGGCAGGGGCGGGAGCUGCAGCGGUACACGAGCGCCGGGGGCCGCAUCGUGGUGGGUUGCAUCCCGUACCGGGUGCGCAGCGGCGGCGAGAUGGAGGUGCUGGUGAUCACGUCGCAGAAGGGGCACGGCAUGAUGUUCCCCAAGGGCGGGUGGGAGCUCGACGAGUCCAUGGACGAGGCCGCCCGCCGCGAGGCGCUCGAGGAGGCCGGCGUCCGCGGCGACACCGAGACGUCCCUCGGCUGCUGGUACUACAAGAGCCGCCGCUACGACACCACCUACGAGGGCUUCAUGUUCCCUCUCCGCGUCACCGACGAGCUCCUCCAGUGGCCCGAGAUGUCCUCCCGCAAGCGCACCUGGGUGAGUAGUAGUAGUACAUGACCCCCCCAUCGCACUUUGAUACACGGAAAUUCGCCAUUCUACGGCGAGAACGAUCGAAUUCGAUCGACCAAAGAACGAACACGGGCGUCUAAAUGCCGAUUCGAUUUUGUGCAGGCCACGGUGCAGCAGGCGAUGGAUGGAUGCCAGCACGGUUGGAUGCGUGAGGCGCUCGAGCGGCUCGUCUCCCGGCACGCCACCAACAAGCUGCAGUCUGCGCUGUAAACCCAACCAAAAUCAAAGCGAGCUGAGUCGCGCGAGAAGGGAAACGGGCGGGCUACGAGCACAGCACGGGCGGCGGCGCGAAGUCGCCGGCGUCGUGUUCGCUCUCCCGGUGAAGCGGCAGGCCGGCCGGGCUCGAUCACAUCUCGAUCGAGCACCAUAUAUUUUGGCCGCCCUCACCGGAGAGCGAGACGACGGCGGACGAAUGCCCCGCGCGGAGAUCGGAGCACGCCGACGACGACGACUCUUCAUUUGGGGUUGCAGGGGUCGUCGUCGUGUAUACGUACGUCGCGGCGAAAUAACGGCGCGAGAAUUUUAGAAAGUUUGAAGAUUCGGCAUCUUGUAAAAAAAGAUCGAAGCUGGAACAAGCCAAUUAAUUUAAAACACCACAUUGCGAAAGCAAUUCGAGAUUCUUCCUUUGAAGCAACAAAAAGUGUCAAAAUGAACCGCAGUAAUUACCAGUGCCAUUUCGUGUCGGUACAAUUAAUGAGCUGAUUGAUGGUAAUUGAAGUGUUCAGCAAAAAGAAAAUCAAGCAAUUACUCACCCUACUGACACCAGACAGCUCAUAAACCUGCUGGUAAGCUCAUCGACAGCUACAUGUGGACACGCUCUUCCUUAUCUCAGCGUGUGUACCGCGAUUAUCUUGGUUCUUACCCGUGGCUGGAAAUUAAAUGAGAUUCCUUCGCUUUGCAGAAGAAGUAUCCCUCUCUACUACAUUGCUCGAUUGAAACAAGUGUGCAAGAUCACGACACGUAGUGGACCGAACUCUCACUCUCAAUCUCACAUCUUGAUACACAAACUUUAAACGCAUCGUUUUCAAAUUAAACAGCAUUUUCAGAGGGGAAAGAGAGAUGACACCGCACACUUCUCCCUUUCUGGAGCAGUAAUAACCAAUUAAUUACUACGGGGAGGAUCUCAUCUGGAACAACCGGGCCCUGCCAAAAAACCGAAAUUUCCCUCGACGGCGACUGCAUCUGGGCCCCACGGGCCGCGCCCUAUGGGCUGUCACUAGGCUCCCCCGAUUUUUCAAAAGCGUGGCCUGCAGAUAAGAACGGAUGGGGCCAUGUGCACCCCUGUAUUUUCUCUGCUCCAAUGAGUAAAAAAAAAAAAAACAAGAAGAAAAGCCAACCGGUGCCUUGCUGCCUCGCCGCACUGCCGAUCGACGGCGACAUGCCCGACGGCGACCCCGAUCGGCUCGGAUUAAUGCGUAGACUGACUUGACUUAGGGAGGGCAAUAAGAUUUGUCUGGGGCCGUAAAAUUAUUGGGGCUGGUCGGCACGGUGACGGGGCAAUAAUAAUAAUAAUCAUAAUCAUAAUCAUAAUACAGUGCUUAGAAAGAGAUGAGACGAGAUGAUUAAUCAAUCUGGGCACCUUGUGUUGCUCUGGUCCACGUAUGCAACGCGACCUCGCUGUCAAGGCGUUAGGUGCUGCGAGAUAAACUAGUGACAAGUCCCGGCUCUCGCUUACGCGAGCCAAGUAGGACUAGUAGAUGAUAAAAACAACUUGGCGCCCUCUGUUUUGUUUGGACCCCUCCACACCGGGCGUGAAAGUUUAACUAAUCGUGUUAAUUAAUCUGUCGUUUCGGGCUUGUAACCAUCGGUGGAAAUUUUGGUGCCGGUGAUUCGGUGUGUGCUUUAUUUCCUUCCUCGCGGUGGAAGUGGAAUCCGCUUUUUACCGUGUAGAGACGUAAGUAUGUGAGAGGGAGACGACGAUAAACUUGCGUCACCGACGCUGUGACAUGUCAACGAAGACAAAACCACUAGACAAAGAUUUUAUUUUUUGGUGCUUCUUUUUUUCUUUUCUCUUUUUGAUGAAGGAGGCGUUAAUGCUGGUAACUCUCACUUCCGCCUGGUUUCUUAACUGUUCGUGAGCUGCGUGUGCCAUGUUUGCAUGGAACGACGCUCGCCGUAUAGUAGUUGCAGUUCACGCCGCAGAAACACACUAAUUUUGACAAAUUGACUUUUUUAGAAAACUUAUUUCAAGAAUAAGCCGUGUCAAAAACUUAUUGCAAAAAUAGGCCGGCGGCUCAGCGUUAUAAAUAUUAGCGCUGAGGUAUAACGCUUUAGCGCCAUAUAUAUUAGCGCUAACAUUUCAUCCGAGGUAAAAUUACCAGCUCAAUAGGGGUUAGCGCCAUAGCUUUUGGGGCUGACCUAUUAGCAGUAUUAAAAACUCUCUGGAACAUUCUGUUAUGCGUGCGCGAUGCUAGUGGGAUGGUCAUGUGCUUUUGCUCCCAGUGCACAGACCACAGUUCGAACCCAGGCAUGCACAUCUUUAGAAUUAUUUUUUUUAUCAAUUUAUAUUUUCUUUGCAAACUACACAUUUUGCUUGCAUUCAAUGCUAUAUACUAGUACUUUUUUUUAUCAAUUGUAAGUAUGAAAUGCUAUAUACUACAUGUUCUCAUAUUUUUAUUAUGGUUCUUUUGACUCAUAACUAUAAAAAUAAAUACUAUGUAAUUUAUGUUAACACUUACCUCCUAAUUUUUUAUUUUAAAAUUACAUUUCUUACAUUUAUGUGUAAUGAUCUUGUUUUAAACAUAAAACAUAUGAAAUGUUAAAUGCUGCGUACUUUCAAAAUUUUAUGAAUAUAAGUAUUAAUGCUAUAAAAUUUAUGUUCUCAAAUUUAGUUGUUCCUAAUUUAUAAGACUAAUAAAAAAUAUGCUAUAAAAAUAAAAAAAACAUCCAAAGGAUGUAAAACAUAGGGAUUGAACCGUGGUUAAUGAGAUGAGAGGCAAAGUCUCCUGCCACCACACUACACGAGAACAUGCAAACCAAAAAGUCCAGAAGAUCAUUUUCAACGUCAAUAGCUCAGCGCCGUAAGCUAUGCCACUAACCCCAGUGACUUGGCAAAUUUUUUUACCAUCUCAGAUGAAAUGUCAGCGCUAAUAUACAUGGCGCUAAGGCAUUAUACCUCAGCGCCAAUAAGUUUGGCGCUGAGACGACGGCCUAUUUUUGCAAUAAGUUUUUGGUAUGGUUUAUUUUUAAAAUAAGUUUUCUCAGAGGGUCAAUUUGUCAAAAUUACGGGCAGAAACAGCGAAGAAUCGUCUCCGGUCCGGCCGAGCGAACGGACGGGCUCGUUCAAGCGGGGGCAGCUCGACCGGACCGGGGGGGCCAAGUGGCAACUUGACACGAUCAAGUCACGGAGUCGCAGCGUACGACGGGCGGGUUGGCGGCCCGAGCCCGACGGCGGCGCGGUUGGUGCAGUGAGCAAGUGUGCAGCAGGCGCGAGCACGAGGGAGGCACGCCGGCUGGACCGAGACCGACCUGGCGUCGAGUUGGUCCGUGAACCAUUAGCGCUUGUUGGGCUGGCGGCUGUGGAGUUGGCCUGCACUGGAUCCUUCUGUUUCUACAGAUGGGCUUCAUGGGUAGGAAUUUGCUCUGUUUGGGCUAAGUUUAGCCCGUAAAGGAAUUGGUCUAUUUUCCGUCUCAACUCUUAGACCUGGUUGAAUCGACUUCCUCAACCAUACAUCUCUUGAAAACCGGUGUAAAUAGACUCCUUAUGGUUUCAGGAUCAGUUCUAUCUUACGUGGCGCUCGUGAUACCCACAUAUCAGUAAAAAAAAAUUUACUGCCCCACAUAUUAUCCUAAUCUCCUUUUCUAUUUCCUCACCUCACCCCUCUCUCUGCCGUUCUCUCUCUCCAGGCGGCAGCAAAGGCUAGCAUCACCGGGGGUGGUGGCGAUGCACGGGGAAAAAAAGGAGUCAGGAGAUGGAAGAGGAAGAUGCGAUGCAAAGAUGCCGACGGCUUCCAGGGAGAAGGACGCGAAGCCAUGCGAGUGUGACGAAGUGCAGGGCAGGGACUGAUGGACGAGAUGACGCGGUUGCCGUCGUGACGUCCCUCUCUGCUGCUGGGCUUGUCUAUAUGGCAUCAUCGCCAAGAGCCGUUGAAGGCGGUGGCAAGAUGGGUGGUGCGCAGGGGAGAAGCUUGUCGGCCGGCUAUAGGGUGUGGGCCCCAAGGACUUGGCAUGUCGCUGCCGCCAACUGGAGAGAGAGAACGGAAAGAGAUAGGGGAGUAGAGAUGAAAAAGAAAAAGGCAAUAAGGAUGAUUGACAUGUGUGAUUAUUUUUUUAAUUUUUAUUGACAUGUGGGUCCUACAAGCACCACAAUAAAACCGCUUUUGAAACCACGAAUGAGUCGAUUUACAGUGGUUUUAAAGAUGGGAGAAACGUUAUGCCUGGUUUUUAGGUUAAGGGAAGCGAUUUAAACAGAGGCAAGAGACAUUAUUACAAGGGUGGGGCUCGGCCUUUGAACCAUACGUGGGACAAGUUUCUGCCUCAUACAAAUGAGAGACAAAAUAGACUUUUUUUUCCUGCAAAAUACUACUAGUAGUAAAUUAGGUUGGGCUCACUAAACUAGAAAUGACAAAGAAGCAAGUUAGCGGAUUAUCUUUAUUUUACAACGGUAUAAAAGAAGAAGAGCCGUCCUACUUUUAUUCUCUCCUCCCACCACAUGCUCGCAUCUCAUAUAUAAACUUGUGAAACUUACUCUAACCAUAUAGAACCAUUGCAAUACACGGGCAUAUAUUACUAGUUACACCUAAUUUUGUGGAGUUUCAUACCCAAUUGAGAUAAGGAAUAAUUAGAUUUAAUGCAUAUUUUUCUAUAAAUUAGUUUUGAUAUAUAUCUUUUAGUUUCUAAUUUCAUAUAGUUUAUCUUUUAAAUACAAAACAUAUUUUAAAAUAGAAAUAUAUUUCAUACACGAUUAUACACAAAGCAAUCAAUGUAAAUACUAGACGCCAAAAUUAAAGAUAGAUAUAUACUAGCUAAGUAGAUGUAUAGAUAGAUAGACUCAUAGAUAGGCUGUUGGAGACGGAAUUGGCUAAUUAUAGGUUGUAUUUGGGCGAGUUUAUUUGGCCCGCAAACGAAUCGACCAAAGCUUUGCAUAGGAAAUUUUUGCCGAUCGUCGGAGAGUACAAACGAGGCGCGCGCACGCAGCACCAGAGGCGAGUGACCCAACAACAAAUGGAGGUUCGUCGACGAUGGUCGUCUCCGGCGACGGCUGCGGCCAUGGCUCUCGUCCUGUUCGCCUCGUCGUCCUCCUGUAAACGCCCUGUAACACACAAUAUCCUCUGUGGCACGCGCGCGUGCGUGCGCGUCUGAUUUGUUGGUCUCGUGUCUCGUUAAUUUGCUUACUCGAUCGCUACGUUUUCCAUUACGAAUUUGCGAUCGAUCCGAGGAAAGGGAGCCCGGCGGCGGCGGCGGCGGUUGGCGCUGCGACGGAACUGCAGAAGCACGUGGCGUUCUUCGACAGCAACCACGACGGCAUCAUCUCCUUCUCCGAGACGUACGAAGGUGGGUGGCCAUGCCUGUCCUAUCCUCCGUUUUCUGCUUGCUAAAUGUCAAACGCAGCCUUAUAUCUCCCUUAAAUUGUUACAGCAUAAUUUCUUUUAAUAUGUUGUUUCAAUUCAAGGGAGAUCUAAGACUGCAUUUUGAUAUUUUUUUUAAUGGUGCCUGCAGGGUUCCGUGCGCUCGGAUUUGGAGUUGUUACCUCCAGAUUCAGCGCGACCGUAAUCAAUGGCGCCCUCGGUACCAAGACCAGACCUGUAUGAUCUGUCACAUCUUUAUAUAUGUUUCGUUUGGCGCAUAAUUCCCCUGGUUAUGCGUGAUAUAAAGAAAAAAACUGACAGUUUGUGCUUUUUCCAAAUUUCCAAAUGCACGCAGGAAAAUGCAACAGCAUCACGGUUUUCUAUCUAUAUAGAGAACAUCCACAAAGGGGUCCAUGGAAGUGAUACUGGCGCAUUCGAUUCAGAAGGAAGGUAGUCAUUUCGUAGACUCUCCAAACAGUAAUGAUACAAGCGAGUUCAGCAAAUUGCCUUGGAUUGUCUGAACUGUUUGCAACAUAGAUUAUUCUUUUACGUUCUUCCACACAUAUAAUUCACAAUCAUCUUUUUGAUAUGCUAGUAGUAUAUUCAACUCUGCUGCAGGUUUGUCAAUGAAAAGUUCGAUGAGAUAUUUACCAAGCAUGCAAAAACUGUACCCGAUGGCCUGACAGCAGCCGAACUGGACGAGAUGCUUCGUGCAAACAGAGAACCCAAGGACUACAAAGGAUGGUAAUCUCUUGCUAGCUGAUAGCUUCAGAAACCAUAUGCAUGUAUAUCUGUUCAAAUGGUCUGCUCACUGUAUUCGCUUGCACUACUUUUGUACCACGAGAAAAUGCAGGGUCGGAGCAUCGACGGAGUGGGAGACGACGUUCAAGCUCGGGAAGGACAAGGAUGGUUUCCUUCGCAAGGACACUGUCAGAACUGUCUACGAUGGGAGCUUCUUCAGUAAAGUGGCGUCGAAGAAGAAGGGUCCCUCUGCAAACCAAGCAUGAUUGGGAUUUUGGAAGGAAAAAUGUACUAAAUUGAUAGAACAUGUCAAGGCAUCCCUAAAAUGAAUGGUCCAUAUAUAUUUACCCAGGAAAUGUUCCAAAGUGGCUUGCAUUUGCGUAAGGGCAGAAACGUUGAAACCGUUCGCCAAAUGGCGGAAAAGCAGUGGCAUAUAAGAACAACGUUUCAGUAACGGUGAUGGCCUUUUCUGGCUUCCUCACACGAACAGUCUGGGCUUUGGAUUAAGCCGUUUGUUGUUUCUCCCUGACUGGGAGAUCAAGCACUAGUAUAAUGAUUUCAAUCCACAAACGGCCUCUCGAUUCAAUCCACCUAUUAAUGUUUGGUGUUCUUUUUUUCUGAAGAUGAAGAAGAACGCCGUGUUUAGUUCCAAAGUUAUUUUUCAAACUUUCAACUUUUUCAUCACAUCAAAACUUUCCGACACACACAAACUUUUAACUUUUCCAUCACAUCGUUUCAAUUUCAACCAAACUUUCAAUUUUGGUGUGAACUAAACACAGCCGAAGAUGAAGAUUAAGUUUUUUACGUAAAACGAGAUGGCAUUAACGUAUGAUUGAUUGAGUUUUAAUUAUUACAAAUUUAAAAAAUAGAUUAAUACGAUAUUUUAGUGCAACUUUCAUAUAGAAAGUUUUCGUACGAAACACAUCAUUUAGCAGUUUGAAAAGCGUGCCACGAGUAUCCAAAAUUUCAUCCCCUCUGCAUAGUGGAAAGAUGUAGUUUUUACGAUGCUCCUUAUGAGUAGUUUUUACGAUGAGAAAUGGAUGAAAAUUUAGAUACUUGUGUCAUGCUUUUCAAACCACUAAACAUCGCGUUUCGUGCAAAAACUUUCUAUAUGAAAGUUGUUCUAAAAUAUCAGAUAAAUCUAUUUUUUAAGUUUGUAAUAAUUAAAACUCAAUUAAUCAUACGUUAAUACCACCUCACUUUGCGUAAACCACUUAAUCUUCAUCUACGGGAGAAAAGAAUACCACAUAAGUAAUACUACCAUAUUAAUUAAUUAAAUAGUGAUAAUAGAAUGACUUUUUUUUACUGAUUGUAGGGCUCAUAAAUCGAUGAAUCAAUGGUUAACUAUAAUAUACACUACCAUAUAUAAUUAACUAUCGAUAAUAGAAUGAUCUUUUUUUACUGAUAGUAGGACUCAUAAAUCAAUGAAUCAAUUAGUAGUUAAGAUUGCUGCUACGUGGUCAGUGGAGAGCACUGCUUUAGUGGGAAAUAUUUCUUAUUUCUCACACGCAAAUAGGGGUGAAAACGGGGCGGGUAUUUCCCGUCCGCCGCCCGCCCGUAUUAAUCUGGGAUAAAUUCGGGUCAAAAAUUCGGGUACCCGAGUACUUUCACGGAUAUCGGAUUCAAAUACGAAUUUUUUCUAGCGGAUACGAGAUCGGGUUCGGGAGGACAGUAUCUGUAUCCGGUAAAUUAUGCGGGUAUUACCCAGUUAACUACCCGUAUAUGACCCGAACUGCUACAACCACCAGGGAGACGAGCAGGCAUCAGCCUGAGGGCGCCGCAUGCCGCACGCGAGCAACCAACCACUGGCACUGAGGCACAGGCGCACAGCCGGCGCCGCCGCCGGCGUCGUGCAUGCUAGCCGCUAGGCGCUGUGCUAGCUGCUAGUGGCUACGCUGCUGCGCGCCCGCGCCCGCUGGCCGCUGGCCGCUGUUGACCGCCGCCGACCACCGUCGCAAGGCCCCGCCUACCACCGCCGAGGCGCCGACCAUCUCUUCCGGUAGUCACCUCUCAGCAGGUCAUCCAGGUGAGCAAAAGUUCAGUGUUUUAUUGCUUUAUCAACAUCACCUUACGACUUGAAGUUCAGUGUUUUAUUUUACUUUUACUGUUUGGCUGUAGGAUUAGGAUAGAAUGGCUAGUGGUAAUGCAAACACUAGUAUCUGUGUCAAGGACAAAGUUACAAGUGUGGAGGAGCAACAACGUAAAGCAAAAUGCUGAACCGUGAACUAUGGUCUACACCAUUGAGUAUUUGAGUCUGUACGCCUACUUUGGAUCUGUUGUGCUGAUAGGUAUUACCAUUCCCUAAGUCUCUAAUAUAUAUUCAUAUUAUACGUAUAUGGAAUGAUUGAACGACUAUUGCCUAUGUGGUAUAUAUGGUUAUUGCUUUGAUUUGAUAUCCGAAUAAGGAUUCGUAACCGAUAGUGUUCGUAUCUGACUUGGUACGUAUUCGUUCCGUAUUUAAUCCCGACAUUAUCCGUGCUUGUAUUCGUAUCCGAUAAUAUCCGUGCCCGACCCGAUCCCUAUUUUAAAAUGUGGGUUAGGAUACGGAAAGGAUGAGAUCCGACCGAACCCGACCCGUUUUCACCCCUACACGCAAAUAGUAACAUAACUGCUAAAAAAACUUGCGAUAGAUUUUCUACCAUAAAAUUUUCGAAUUUGUAGCUGUCAGAUCGCCUCAUGAUUCGUGCUGGUGGAGGAGGAAAAAAAUUUACAAGUGGAGGAGGAAAAAAAUUUACAAGUGCGCCAGGACCUAGGGAUUAAACUCACAACCUCUCUAAUUUCAUGCAUAUAUUCUAUUUCGUAUGGACAAGGAUUCACAGCUGUAUUUUUUAUUUUUACUAAAAUUUGUAGAAGUUGAAUUUCAACUUACAUAUUUGUGAAGUUAUAUAUCUCAUAGUAAUAUAUCUUGUAUUUUUUUUACUAUCUAGGUGACAUGAAAAAAACAUGAGAAAUACUUUCCCAUUUUGUAUAAAAUAGAUCUUAAAAAUCAGAAUAUAUUUCACAUAUAACUUCGGGUCGACAUAUUUUUCGGCUAAAUAAAGUAACUUUGUCUGCCAUCUAAUCUUCUUCACUAUUCGUGCAAGCUUCAAAGUGCAUCUAGACAAGCCGAUCGAACAACUUGUUCCCAAGGUGGCGAGUCCUUUUUCUCUACAUGACACGUGCUAGUCAGUGAAUGUAACUACAUUAUUUAUACAGUAAUUAUAUAUGUAACUACAAAUUACACUAUAGUUACAUGUGUAAUUAGUUUAUAAUUACACAAUAACUUUUAUAUAUUUUUAUUGUAAAUAUUCGUUGAUAGUUUUUCUAGAUAAAAGUUAAUUUAUGUUGUGUAUUUUAACCAGAUUGCUUUUAUUUUUAAAGUUCACCUUAGCAUAUUAAUGAUUUGUGUUGCCUUUGAUUAUAACCGUAACUUACUAAUGUUAUUUUAAUCAUGCGAACUAAAAUCCGACUGUGUGGAGCUUAGAUUUGUGGCACCAUUAUUAUAGAUGCUGAGUAUUUGACUAUUUGGGUGAGUAUCGCCUGCAAGCGAUAGGUUUGCAUGGAAAAUUUUAGCCGAUCGUAGAAACACGCGAAGCACGUGGCGCCAGAGGGAGAGGAGCACAUAUACAGCCUUCAGCGGGUAAGCGAGGGAUCAAGAAGCAGAGGUGGCUCGGAACAGCCGGAAACGGCAGCGGAGGCUCGACGACGGCGGCUGUCGUCCCUGGCCGGCGACAACGAUAUGGCGGCGGUCGCGGCCGUGCCUCUCCUCCUCCUGUCCGCCGCAUGCUUCUGUACGUAAGGCCCCUGUAAUUAAUACUCCCCCUUUCGCUAAAUUUUGACGCCGUUGAUUUUUUUAAACAUGUUUAACUGUUCGUCUUAUUUUAAAAAAUUUUGUGAAAUAUGUAAAAAUAUAUGUAUAUAUAAAAGUAUAUUUAACCAUGAAUUAAAUGGUAGAAAAAAAUUAAUAAUUAUUUAAAUUUUUUAAAUAAGAUAAAUAGUCAAAUGUGUUUAAAUCAAUGGCGUUAAAUAUUUAGAGAUGAAGGGAGUACUAGUCAUCCUCUGGCACGCGCGUUUCGUUUCCAAUUAUGUUUACGAUCGAGGAAGGGAGCCAGCCGGCGGCGGUGGGCGGCGACGCCCCGGCAACGGAGCUACAGAAGCACGUGGCGUUCUUCGACAGCGACCACGACGGCAUCAUCACCUUUGGCGAGACGUACAGAGGUGGCCACGCCCGCCCUGCCUUGAUUUUCUCUGCUAGAGUAUUCGAUAAUUUCUACUUGGCCUUGUACUCUUCUAUUUUAAAAUAUAUGAUACCGUUAAUUUUUAUAUAAUAUUUAACUAUUUAUCUUAUUUAAAAAAUUAUAUAAAUAUUAUUUAUUUUAUUGUGAUAUGUUUUAUCAUCAAAGAACUAUAAUAUUAACUUACACUUUUACAUAUUUAUACUAAUUUUUUAAUAUAUUUAUACUAGUUCUUUUAAUAAAACGAAUUAUCACACGAUAUGCGAAAAGCCAAUGGUAUCAUAUAUUUUGAAAUGAGGGUAGUAUGCUUUUUCAAUUGAUAAAGGGAUGUGAUUUAGGCUGCAUUUUGGACUUUAUAUGGUGCCAGGGCUCCGCACCCUCGGAUUUGGGAUUUUCGGCGCCACCGUGAGUGCUACCUUCAUCAAUGGCGACAUCGGCCCCAAAACUAGACCUGUAUGAUCUCUCUUAUGCCCUGUGAACGUAUAUAAAAAAAAUAUGUAGUGCAACCUCUACAUAUAUACAUACAUACAUAGAGUAAAUAGUUUAUUCAUGGAGACAGAUAAAUCUUAUACGUCCAUUUUCCUAUCCUACGAUAGUUUUCAGCUUUGCACAAUAUACAUAAAGUUUGCACCACAUAUUUUUUUCUAUAUACACAGCGCAUGACGCCUUUGUAUAAUUUAUAUUAUAUAUAUGUUCUCAUUCAACGCAUAAUUCACCUCAUAUUUAAGAUGACAACCUCAAGAGUUGAACUUUUCCAAAUGCAUGCAGGAAGACGCAGAUGGGUCAUGGUUUUCUAUCUAUGUACAGAACAUUCAUAAAGGGAUCCAUGGAAGUGAUACGGGUGCAUUCGAUUCUGAAGGAAGGUACACCGUGCUCUCCUCAUCCAUUUGGGAACGUGUCUAGAUUAUAAACGAGUACUAGAUGCCACAUGCAUUUUGUGAUUAUUAAACUAGUAAAGGCUUAUCUGGUUUGGAAUUUUUAAGGAUUUAAACUUUUUCAUGUGAGAAUCAUGCAAAAUUCAUGUAUUCCGAGGAAGCCCCACAAAAAAAUACCUAAAUACGGCUAUACUCAACUUGGGUGUGUUUAGUUCAAGCUAAAAUUGAAAAUUUGAUUGAAAUUAGAACGAUGUGACGGAAAAGUUGAAAGUUUAUAUGUGUAGGAAAGUUUUGAUGUGAUAGAAAAGUUAAAAAUUUAAAGAAAAAGUUGAGAACUAAACUAGACUAGGCCUCUGCUAUGCAGGUUUGUUAGUGAAAAAUUCAAUGAGAUAUUCACCAGGCAUGCAAAAACUGUACCCGACGGCCUGACAUCAGACGAGCUGGACGAGAUGCUUCAUGCAUACGCAGAUCAUACAGAGCACAAAGACAGCUCAGGAUGGUAAUCUUUUGCUAGCUUGUUGCUUCAAGAAUCAUAGGGUAUUUUUUUACCCGGCAUCUAUAUCCAACCGGAUAUAUACAACUAUUUUAAUUAGGAACUUAGUCUAUCAAAUAGAAAACUUAGUGCUUCAAGAAUCAUAAAUGGUAUAACUAUAUAUAUUUAUUCACCUGUGGUUGUUGGAGUAAUGGGUGUCUUUAGUUCAUGCCAAAAUUAGAAGUUUGGUUGUAAUUAGAAUGAUGUGACGGAAAAGUUGAAAGUUUGUAUGUGUAGGAUAAUUUUGAUGUGAUGAAAAAUUUUAAAGUUUAGAGAAAAAUUUUGAAAGUAAACUCGGCCUAAGAUCGAGAAAAUGCAGGCUCCAGGCUGCAACAGAGUGGCGGGCGACAUUCGAGGCCGCCAAGGACAAGGACGACAUCCUUCGCAAGGACACCGUCAGAGCCGUCUACGACGGGAGCUUCUUCAGUAAACUGGCGAAGGAGAAUGACGACUAAGGCUGUGUUCGCAUGUGGAUGAUGGGAACAUAGUGACUCCGCACGGAAAACGGAGCGAUCUAUUAGCACGUGAUUAAUUAAGUAUUAGUUAAUUUUUUUUCAAACAUAAAUUAAUUUGAUUUUUUAAACAACUUUUGUAUAGAAACUUUUUGUAAAAAAUACACCGUUUAGCAGUUUGAAAAGCGUGCACGCGAAAAACGAGGGAUUUGGGUUGGGAACCUAGAGGUCCAAACACACUCUAACGGGGUGUUUAGAUGGGGCUAAAACUUUUUAGCCCAUGUCACAUCGGAUGUUUGGACGCUAAUUUGGAGUAUUAAACAUAGACUAAUAAAAAAACUAAUUUCAUAAAUGAGAGCUAAUCCGCGAGACGAUUUUUUUAAGCCUAAUUAAUCUAUAAUUAUAAAAAGUUUACUGUAGCAUCACAUUGUCAAAAUCAUGACAUAAUUAGACUCAAAAGAUUCGUCUCGUGAAUUAGUCCAAGGAUAUGGAAUGUGUUUUGUAAUUAGUGUAUGUUUAAUACUCUAAAUUAAUAUCCAAACAUCCGAUGUGACAUGGAUUUGGAAUAAGUCCCUGGAAACCAAACAGGCCCUAAGGGUCCUUCUGCGCCGCGAAGCAAGCAUGGCUGGUUGUGAUGGUUACCUCUCUUUAUGAUCGGAGUACCAAGGGCUUCAUCACUUUGUUGUUAAAAUCAGUCUUAUUAAAUUUUGAUAAGUUUUGACGUUACCCAAGGUACUGUUGUAUAAAUAUUUAGCUUAAUACUUUUGUAUGACUAGCAAAUAUGCCCGUGCGUUGCAACGGGUGAAAAAACGUAAUGAUAAUAUACGUUUUUCAUGCAUAACCAUGUCGAUAACAAUCAGAAAAUUAGAACUACGAAACUUUAUUUUCUAGCGCGUUUUCUUUUGUGCUUUUUUCUGACAUUUUUUCCUUUUUUUAGAUUAGAUUAGAUUAGAGAUAAAAAAGAUAUAUAAAUGGACUAAAAAACGACGAAUAUAAAUUUGACUUUUUUCCUCCGCGCUUUUUUCCGUUCUUUUAAUUUUUUUUCUCGUGCAUUUCUUUUACGAAGGGUUUUUUUCACCACUUUCACAUAGUGUCAAACCUUUCUAGAUAUAAUAGGAUUCGAUUUUUUUUACCGCAUCACGUAUAAUUCCUUUUUCUUUAGAAACAGACAAUUUUUUCGCCCUUUUUUAUCGCGUCAACGGAGUCGGAAUCGUUUUGAUUUUUUCCCCUUUUUUUGGAUCGGACAGAUUUUUUUUUGCCCGGUUUAUUUCGCCCGAUCGAUUUUUUUUACCGCGUCACAUAUAAUUCCUUUUACUUUGGAUUUUUUUCGCCCUUUUUUUACCGCGUCGACGGAGUCGGAUUCGUUUUGAUUUUUUUUCUCCCUUUACUUUGGAAUUUUUUCGCCCUGUUUUCACCACGUCGACGGAGUCGGAUUCGUUUUGAUUUUUCCCCUUUUUGGCUUUUUUUGGAUAGGACAGAUUUGUUUUUUUUUCGCCCCGUUUUUUUAUCGGACUUUUAUCUUUUUUUUCGCCUGGUUUUUUUAUUUUUUUACCGCGUCACAUAUAAUUCCUUUUUCUUUAUCGGAAAGUUUUUUUUCGCCUUUUUUUACCGCGUCGAUGGAGUCAGAUUCUUUUCAGCUUUUUCCUUUUCUUUUAUCGGACAAAUUUUUUUUUCGCCCAUUUUUUUUUCUCCUGUUUUUUUCGGAUCGGACUAUUUUUUUCUUUUUUCGCCCGGUCGAUUUUUUUACCACGAUAUAUAUAAUUCCUUUUUCUUUGGAAUAGGACAGUUUUCUUUUUAUUUUUUUAAACUCUUUUUACCGCAUCGAUGUAGUCGGAUUCGUUUCGAUUUUUUUCCUUUUUUUGCUUUCUUUUUUGUCGGACAGAUUUGUUUUUUUUCCACCCGGUUUUUUUCCGCCCAGGUUUUUUUAUCGGACUUUUCUUUUUUUUUUCUCCACGAUACAUAUAAUUCAUUUUUCUUUGGAAUAGGACAGUUUUCUUUUUAUUUUUUUAAACUCUUUUUACCGCGUCGAUGUAGUCGGAUUCGUUUCGGUAUUUUUUCCUUUUUUUCCUUUUUUUUUGUCGGACAUAUUUGUUUUUUUUCCGCCCGGUUUUUUUUCGCCAGGUUUUUUUAUCGGACUUUUCUUUUUUUUUCGCUCGGUUUUUUUCUCCCGUUUUUUGACGGACGACAGAAGCACCUAGAGAAGUGUUUUUUUUUUUCUUUUCUCCAAUCCAAUACAGAUCGGAUCUCUUCCAGGGAAAUCAGAUUUUUUUUCUCCAGGGAAUCGAACUCUUUUUUUUCGUUUUUUUUAUUCAUUAAACGGUUUGUCUCUCGGACUUUUUUUUCCCUUUUUAAGGGAUCGGGUGUUUUUUUGCCAGGGACGGGUGUUUUUUUCGCCCGGUUUUUUUUCACUUUUUUUUUUGGAUCGGACUUUUUUUUCGUCCGGUUUUUUUGAUCAGACAAACUUGGUUUUUUCUGCCCGGUUUUUUUGACGGACGAUGGAAGCACCUCUUAUUUUUUAAGUAGUAGUAGAUUUGGCAGCAUUUUUAUGAGAGGAAAAAUUCCAAAACUAUUAAAUUUUGGUAGGAUAUAUAGCAUUUGAUAAAACCAUGUUUAGUUCGUUAGCCUAGCAAAAUUUGAUGUUCUCCUUUAACGAAUCGUAUAAGAUAGUGUGGGGUUUUAUAUUGGCAGAGAGAAAAAAAUAAAGACCUAAAAAAAACAACAAACAAUUUUGAUAGAUUGAAAGUGUCAAUAAAGUAAACAAGCCCAUAAGUUUGUGAUAUAUCGGUCGAUGCCUGCAAAUCAAAGAGCACCCUGCAAAAGUGGUUGUCUCUCUGAAGUCUGAACAAGAAAAAACAGAGCCAGGGCGCCAUGAAACGAAUGAUCCAUAUUUACCUAGGAAAUAGUCCUAAAAAAGAAAACCUAGGAAAUGCCCGGAAGUCAUAUGCAUUUGCGUAGGGACAAAAACGUGGAAAUCGGUUCACCAAAUGGUGGAAAGUAGCGGCACGUUAGAACAUCGUCUUAACAACGGUAAUGAGUCUAAUGACCUUUUCUGGAUUCUCGCACGAAGCCACGAACUACCUAGCUUUGCUUUAAGCUGUCGUUUGUUUAUCCCUGUCACGGAGCUCAAUCAGCAGGUGUUACUCUCCUCAAUGGCCAGUCAAAAUAAAUCCACGGUGGGAUUGUCUUCAACUUUCAGUUUUCACACGCAAAUAGUAGUAACCUUCUGCCAACUACCAUUUCAUUUCGUGUAGGCAGUCAUUUACAAUCUUACAUGUUUUCAGCUUUAAAAAAAAACUGUCAUCUGAUAGGCCCCUUCAUUGAUUAAACUAUACAUAAUAGUAUGCCAACUAAUCAUACUACUCCGUAGUAGUAGUAGUAUGCUAGUUUGAGUAUGCCAACCAUUUCAUUUCAUCUCGUAUUUGGCAAUUUGAGUAUAUGCCAACUUAAAACAUACGAGUAUUACCAGUUUGAGUAUGCCAACCAUCCUAUUUCGUAUUUGGCAAUUUUAAGUAUACCAACUCAACAUACUAGUAUUAUCAUUUUGAGUAUACCAAACAUUUCAUUUCGUAUUUGGCAAUUUGAGUAGGCCAACUCAAUACACUAGUAUUGCCAAUUUGAGUAUGCCAAACAUUUCAUUUCAUAUUUGACAAUUUGAGUAUGCCAACCUAACAUAUUACUUCAUCAUACUUUUUAAGCUACCAGGCCUAAUAUAUAGCUAAUAAAAUUAAAGCCACACUUUAACUAUAUAUUAGCGAUUCUAAUCAACUGAUUCCUAAGAUUGAUAGAUGAGCACGGUCUCGAUCGACUCUCGACAGCACACGACACGCACAUGGUGCUGAACUAAGUGUGUAGGUAUUAUCUUCUUCUGCCUACCAUGUUGCUCCUAUAUAUAUAAGGCGGACAUCCAUAGUGGCCACACGUCUCCAAAAGACUCGGGAGAAGAGAUCUAACAGUCAACUCGUAAAAUACUCCCUACGUUUCAUAUUUUAAAUUAUUUGACUUUUUUUAGUUAAACUUGUUAAAGCCUAUGUUUAUAAAAAAUAUAUUAGUAUUUUAACAUAAAAUAAACAUAUUAUAAAAAUAUGUUUGAGAGUAGAAACAGCCGGCGAAGCGUGACGAUGGACGCUCGACGGCGGCGGCUGUCCCCGGUGGUGGUCGUAGCGGCUUUUCUUUUCUUCCCCCUGUUCUUCGGUAAGGCUGCGAUUUCCAUCUCUCUCUUCUUCUUUUCUUUUUCCCUUUUUUUACAUUUUUUGUUUGGUUAUGUCCUGAAAGGGAGCCAGCCGGCGGCGGCGUACGGCGAGGCUUCAGGCGCCGGCGGCAUGACGGCACUGCAGAAGCACGCGGCGUUCUUCGACAAGGACAAUGACGGCUUCGUCUCCCCGACCGAGACAUACGACGGUGAGCUUCAAAGGCCUUCUAAAUUUCUAGUACUUUCUCGUUUCGCUUGUGAACUGAACACGAUUUGGUUGGUCUUGGUCUGCGCGUAUUUUCGCCUCAUUUUAUCCUCUCAUGGUUGCAUGCAUCGCAGGGUUACGCGCCCUCGGACUUGGAGCUGGCUUCUCCAUCUUAAGCGCUGCGUUGAUCAAUGGCGUACUUUCACUCAAGACCAGACCUGUACGAUCAGUAUCUCUCUCUCUCUCUCUCUCUCUCUCUCUCUCUCUCUCUCCGGCUCAAAAAACUAUCUGAAGUUUUUAUCGUUUUAUUUACUGAAUUUAAGGUGCCUCACUAGUCACUACAAUGACGUGCCGUUUUGAGAGUUGUUAUCAUCGCUUAACUACUGAUGACAAAUACUCCCUCUGUCCCUAAAAAACGAAUCUAAAACUGAAUAUGACAUAUUUUAGUACUAUGAAUCUGGACAUAUGUAUGUCCACAUAUAUCUAGAUUUGUAGUAUUAGGAUUUAUCAUUCAGUACUAAGUUGAUUUUUAUGGGACGGAGGGGGUAGUUGUGUAGUGUUAGGCUAUCAACUUCAGUAGUGGCUUAGUAUAGUUCGUGUGCCAAUUUUUUUUAGUAUACGGAUACAUAUUUGAAGUAUUAAACGUAGAUUAAUAACAAAACAAAUUACAGAUUCCGCCUAUAAACUACGAAAUGAAUUUAUUAAGCCUAAUUAAUCCAUCAUUAGCAAAUGUUUAUUGUAGCAUCACAUUGUAAAAUCAUAGCGUAAAAGAUUCGUCUCGUAAUUUACAGUCGGACUGUGCAAUUGUUUUUUUUUCAUCCAUAUUUGAUGCUCUAUACAUGUGUGUAAAUAUUUGAUCUGAUGAAAAAGUUGAAAAUUUGAAGGAAAAAGUUAGAAUCUAAACACGGCCAGUAUUGAAAAUCUAACCCUUCCAUGUACUUCACUGCUACUGUCCUGAUCAGACCUCAAUUCUGGACAGCCGCUUUUCUUCUACAGUAAUGUUCUAUAAUUAUUAUUUUUUUCUCUAAGAUCGUUAGAACGUCUCUCCAUGUACUCGUUUUAGGUUAUAAGAUGUUUUGACUUUGGUUAAAAUCAAACUGCUUUAAGUUUUACCAAGUUUAUAGAAAAAAAUAGUAAUAUUUUUUACCAAAGAUAAAUUUAUUAUAAAAAUAUAUUUAAUUAUUAAUUUAAUAAAACUAAUUUAGUAAUGUAAAUUACUAUGUUUGUAUAUAAACUUAGUCAAACUUAUAGAAGUUUGACUUUGACCAAAGUUAAAAUAUCUUAUAACCUAAAAUAAAAGGAGUAUGUUUUUAAGUGAACCAUUUCCAAUGAAUGACACAUUACAUACAAAAAAAAAAGGCGUCAAAUUAAUCGUUGGAUCAUGUUGAAUUCACGCAGGACAAUGCAACAUCACCACGCUUAGAUAAUGGGAAUUUAUAAAACCCGGCUUCUACACCAACGGGGAUGUAUACAGCCACAGAAAAUCCGACCAAACAAGCUCAGUUCAUACACACAUGUUCACAAACAAAAGGAGCACAAAGGCUCAAGCACACCUUACAUAAAACUAAAAGAGCACAAAGACUUCCAACGCCUUUCAAAGUGAAAAGACCUUCCAAAUAAACUAAUGACCACAUUACUCCUUUAACCGCUUUCUCAUGUUCCAUCCAUCUUUACCAAAGAAGUGCAUGACAGAUGUCUCUAACAGUUUGCAUCCUUCCUUCAUCACAUCGCGCUCAUCUUCUUUAAGCAGCAAGGACCAUUGUCGAGCCCAAUACGUCCCCCUGAAAAUAACCUGCAAGUAAGAGUUAAAAUUGGAGCCAUUGAAGACCACAUCAUUUCUACAAAUCCACAUUGCCCACAACAACGCCACAAUCCCUAUAAAGAUUUGGUGCUUUAGCCUAGAUUGUAAACCCUUUAGCCAAAUCCCAAACAUAUUAGCAACACUGUUAGGCGGAUUUAUCCCAAAUGUUAUAAAAAGGGUACUCCAAACAAAUCUAGCCACAUGACAAUCAAAAAAGAGAUGUUGUAUCGUUUCAUUGUGGUUACAAAAACAACACUUAGUGAUGCCCUUCCAAUUUCUUUUUGCUAGAUUGUCCUUCGUGAGAAUCACUCCCUUCUUUAAAUACCAGAGGAAGAUUUUGUUUUUCAAAGGAAUUCUAAGCUUCCAAAUUAAAUCCUUCCUUGGCACUACAUUCUCAUACAUAAUCAUUUUAUACAUGGAACUAACCGAAAAUAUUCUGGUUUUGUUAACUUUCCAAAUAAGCUUGUCUCUAUGGUUUGAGAGCCUAACAAGAACCACUUUAGCCACUAGGUUAAACCAUGCAACCAAAUUCUCCCCCACCAAAGCCCUUCUGAACUCAACAUUUAACGGCACUUUAUCUAUAACAUCCGCAACAAUAGCAUUCUUAUUCCUUACAAGAUUGUAUAAAUUAGGGUACAACUUUUCAAAAGGUAAAUCACCAAUCCAGCAAUCCUCCUAGAAUCUUAUCUGAGAACCAUCCCCCACCUUAAAGGCACCGCCUUUAAAAAAGACAUCCCUCAUCCCCAUUAGCCUAGCCCAGAAAUGUGAAUCUCCAGGGCGUUUCUCGACUUGUGUGAUGGUUUUCUUAGUCAAGUAUUUAUUCCUAAGAAUGUCCUGCCAAACCCCUUCUUCAUUGAUGAGUUUGUACAACUAUUUGCUAAGCAAGCAUUUGUUUUGUAUCUCUAAGUUCCGUAUACCCAAGCCACCACAUUCCUUUGGUUUGCACAAUACACUCCAUCUUGCUAACCUAUACUUCUUCUUAUGUUCAUCACAUUGCCAGAAAAAUCUAGAUCUAUAAUAGUCUAGCUUUUUGAGAAUACCCUUAGGGAUCUCAAAGAAGGACAACAUGAACAUCGCUAAACUACUUAACACUGAAUUGAUAAGGACCAACCUUCCUCCUACCAAGAGAAAUUUUCCUUUCCAACUACUCAGUUUCUUUUGAAUCCUCUCCUCCACACCCUGCCAAUCCUUAUUGUUGAUUCUCUUGUGAUGCAUUGGAAUCCCUAAGUAUUUAAAAGGGUAAUCCCCGGUAUCACACCCAAAUAAUUUGACGUACUCAUGCUCCACAUCUUUUGCCUUGCCAUAGCAAAAUAACUCACUCUUAUGGAAAUUAAUCUUUAAGCCAGAUAAUUUCUCAAAUGCACUUAGUACAAGCUUGAGAUCUCUGGCUUCAUCAAGAUCAUGAUCCAUAAAAAGAAUAGUAUCAUCAGCGUAUUGUAAAAUAGAAAGACCAUUAUCAACUAAAUGAGGUACCACUACUUUGAAUCUGCCUUGAUCUUUCGCUCUUUGUAUUAAAAUGGCUAACAUAUCUGCAACAAGAUUGAACAGAAUAGGUGACAAAGGAUCACCUUGCCUCAAACCUUUCCUUGUUUGAAAAUAACUCCCAAUCUCAUCAUUUACUUUGACUGCCACACUCCCACCCCUAACAAUCGAGUCAAUCCAAUCGCACCACUUAGAAGAGAAACCUUUCAUUCACAAUGACUGUUGUAGAAACUUCCAAUCAACUUUGUCAUAUGCUUUCUCAAAGUCUUGCUUUAGAAUCACCCAUUCUUCUUUUUCUUGUGCAAUUCAUGAAGUGUUUCAUGCAAAAUUACCACUCCUUCCAUAAUGUUCCUUCCUGGCAGGAAAGCUGUCUGCGAAGGUUUAAUGACCUUCUGAGCCACUAGGGCUAUUCGAUUGGCCAUUAUCUUCGUAAAAAUUUUAAAACUAACAUUCAACAGACAAAUGGGCCUAUACUGUUGAAUUCUACUAGCGUCCUUUUGUUUGGGAAGGAGAGUAAUGAUUCCAAAAUUUAAUCUGUGCAGUGGCAAAGUUCCUUCAUAAAAAUCGUGAAAGAGGGCCAUAAGAUCAUCCUUGAUUACAUCCCAGAACACUUGGUAAAACUCUGCUGGGAAACCAUCAAGUCCCGGAGCUUUGUUGUGUUCCAUUUGAAAAUUUGCUUCUUUAACUUCCAACUCCUUGAAGCUUUCACUCAACAACUCAUUCUCAACAUCCGUGACUUGUGUAAUAUCAUCUCUUUGGGAUUCCACCAUAGAAAAAUUAUUUUCCUUCGGCGCUCCAAAAAGAUUUUUAUAAUACUUGGAUAUGUAUUUCUUUAAUUGCACAUCACCCUUAAUCACACCCUCCUCUUGCUCUAAUUGAAAGAUUCUCGUCUUCCUAUGCUUGCCAUUGGCCACUAAAUGAUAAUAUUUCAUGUUACGGUCUCCUUCUAUUAUGUGCUUAGUUUUUGCCCUUUGGUACCAUUUUAUUUCUUCUUCCCUCAACAAUUGGGCCAAUCUAUUUUUUACAAAGAGUUUCAAAUCUAACUCCUGAUUAGACAACAGUUGGACUUCAGCCUUCUUUUCUAGCUUGUCUGCUUUUGCUAUCAAAAGAACCUUCUCCCUCUUGUUCGCCCCGCUAACAUUCUUCGCCCACCCUCUCAAAAACUGUCAGAGCCUACGAAUCUUAAAUUGCCAUUUUUCCAACAUAUUAGACCCUCUACUUUCCUUUCUCCAAAUGUCUGCUACUAGAUCCACAAAGCCAUCUCUUAGCAACCAUCCAAGCUCAAACUUGAACAACAGUUGUUUAUUAGCAUGUGUCCCAGCCCCCGUAUCCAGCAACAAAGGAGUAUGGUCAGAGAGUUCUCUAUUAAGAGCCCUGACAGUUGCUAACGGAUACUUUUGUUCCCAUUCAGUACUCAUUAGCACUCUAUCCAACUUCUCAAAAGUUGGAUUGUGCAACGAGUUGGCCCAUGUAAAUUUUCGACCAGAGAGUUCUAGUUCUCUCAAAUCCAGGCUGUCUAUGACAGCGUUGAACAAAAAAGGCCACUUUACAUUAAAGUUAUUAUUAUUCUUUUCACUAGCCUUCCUUAUGAUAUUGAAGUCUCCUCCCAUAAGAAUAGGUAUAGACUCUUUAUUACAAGCAUUAACAAGCUCUACAAGGAAAGCCUCCUUAUAUUCUUCUUGUGUUGCCCCAUACACUGCCAGAACGCACCAUUGGAAGCCAUCUACCUUAUUUUGCACAUGGAACUUUACAUAGAAAUCUCCCUCAUCUAUACUUGCAACCUCAAAGAAUUCCAAAUUAACCCCCAAAAGAAUACCCCCAGGUCUCCCCUUCGGUCUUGUCCAAUGCCACAUAAAAUCUUUACCACCACAAAUAUUUUUUAGACUAGAAUAUGAAAAAUCAUGUUUUCCAGUUUCCAAAAGAGUAAUGAAGUCUAGCUUCCACUCCUUGGAAGUCUCUGAAAGGAAUCUAAAUUUAGCCAAGUCACCUAGAUCUCUGCUAUUCCAAAAAAUUCCUUUCAUGACAUACUUUUCUUAUUUUUCAAGAUCACUUUCACCUUUUGUCCCUUGUUUCUUUUGAAGAAUGACUUGGACUUAUAAACCUUGAAACCCUUUUUUAAGUCACAACUUAGGUGAUCGGGUUCUUCGUCCAUAACUUCGUCCACUAAGCCACCACAUAAGUGACCAAGGACUAAGUUAUCCACCAUCUCAUCCUCCUCUGACUCAAGUUCUCCUUCUAUGUUUCCAACUAAAUCAGCUUUAGGUGCAACAUAAUUUCUAAGUCUAGUCUCUUCAACAUUUUUCAAACUAAUUAUUGAACCUAAAAUUUCAGCACUAGAGCUACCAAGAUUAAUACCUAUGUUGCAUAGGUUAUCAAUAAUAGAAGGACAAGACAAAGACAAAAAUGAACCAUUAACAUCAUUACCUGACUUUAUCUAUCUACAUAGAGAACAUCCAUAAGGCGAUUCAUGGAAGUGAUUUAGGAGCUUAUGAUUCUGAAAGAAGGCGAUUAAGCCUGCAAUCUAUAGAUUGCAGACUGCUUAUGAUGGAAGCCUGUUUGCGAAGCUGGUGAAGGCGAGGAGAUAGGAGCAAAACCAGGCAUGAUUGUUGACAGCUGACGAGAGCUUCUGCAUUGAUCCUCCUAAUUAAGCAUCUCAGAUUAUGUGCCACUGUGCUAUGUGAACGGCUGACUGUGUAUUCUUUUACUCCCUCUCUACCAAUAUACGAGACAAAGCUUUUGCCCUCCUUUAAAAAAAAGAGAACAAUUGAGAUUAUGUCCUUUUUUUUCUUUUCGAGAAUACGAGGAGACGAUUUGUACCGGAUUUUAAAGAUGAGGGAGGCCCUAUACUUGGUUGUGUGAUUGAUGCUUGAUGAGGUUAUUCAACCAGCAGAUAGAAAUCAGGGAUGCUAAAUAGACUUAUUCAGCAAAUAUACGCUUGGAUGGGUUGUUAUCGUAUUACAAUCCGUUGGAAAAGGCCCAUUACCACCGGGAAAACUACCUCGGAGCCCACGCAAAAAUUACGACAGAAAUCCGACCCACACUGCGCUCCUAGUCUUCCACUCUUCCUCGCUUCAUCCGCUCUGCGCCUCUACCCCUCUGAUACAUGUCUGGGAGGUCUUUACCUGUAUACCAUUAAGGGCUCGUUCGGAUUAUAGGAUAGGAAAAACUUAGGAUAGGAAAUUUAUAGGAAUAGGAAAGGAAUUUAAGUGUAAAAUAGAGGAAUGAAAAACAAAGGAAUACAAAAGUUGAGAGCAUUCAGAUCACAGGAAAUUGAUUGCCUAGGAUUUGCAUGCAGAAAGCGAAAAAAAAGAGCUCGAGGUGGAUGGAUUUUCCUGUACUUUUCCUGUGAAAUUAGCAUCAAAGGAAACUUUCCUUUGGAUUUCCUACAACCAGUUUUCAUGAUCCGAAUGACAGGAAAGGAACAAAAUCCUAUAUACAGUAUUCCUCCAAAAAUCCUGUGAAGUUCCUCUAAUCCGAAUAAGCCCUAAGAAAGAUGGUGCCUGCCUCUGUGCCACUAAAAAGUUUGAACCUUCCUCUAUGCCAUCGUCGAACUUUAUCACGCCCUCCACACCAUUCCGUCGCUAUUCUGUGUGAGUUUAACCGUUUGGCAGCUCUGACAUGUGGGCCCGGGCAGGAAAUGUCGCUCUUGCCCUUUUAGUGUCUGCUUCGUUUCAGAGAGAGGCCAGGCGGCGUGGCGGACAAGCAGCCAAGCGCGGCAUUGAGGCAAGCGACCGGUGUGGCGGGCGGCAACCAGCCGAGGGACGGGGUGGUGUGGCGGCCAACCGACACGAGCAGCGAGGCAGCGGAUGAGGAGGUGAAGAGGCCCGUCCCGGAGGAGAAGUCGAAGCCCGUCAUCGUAAGUAGGGUGCUGGUGCAGACCUCGAUCUACACAAAGGAAGAGGUGAAUGCCAUCCUGAUCCAGUGCGGCCGGCUCAGCCGGAGCUCGUCAUCGUCGGGGAUGCGCCUCGUCGUCGACCGUCGAUCCCAUCGUCGUGGCGCAGGUUGGGGCUGACGCUGGUAGGAGGGUCGUCGUCGGGGAUGCGCCGGCUCCUCGCCACCAUGGGGGCCGCCGAGGAGGCCGCGGCGUCCGCGGCCGCCGCCGCCGCCGUCCUGGCGCUCUUUGUCGGUGGCGCCCCCGUCGGCGGGAUCGAUGGUCUCAUGGGCCUCCACCUCAGUGGCCGUCUCGUCCCGCGCUUCAAGGAGGUAGGCUAGCGCGCGCGCUCUCUCUCUCUCAACCCUAAGGGCAACAAAGUCAUUUGGUUGCGCUGUUACCCGCCGUUGGGACAAAAACGGACGGAAUGGUGUGGAUGGCGCGAUAAAGUUCGAUGAUGACAUAGGAGAGGCUCGAACUUUUUAGUAGCACGGAGACAAUACUAUCUUUUUUAAUGGUAUAUAGGUAAUAAAAACCUCCCAGUCUGGCAGUCUCCUCCGCCUUGGGCUCGUGUCUCCGUGCAGCGCGCCGCCUCUCCCCACCGCCGCCGCCUACACACCUCCCCACACCAAUACACCAUCAUCCCGUCGCCGCCACCAUGCUCCGCUAGUUCGCUCUGGCCUAAGGCUGCUCGGCUCCUCUCGACAUCCCCGUCGCGGCAGCCUCAACUGCCCUCGCCACUGUCGAGGCGGCUUCAGUCCAUGCCACCGCCGUAUAGACGGCCUUGAUCUGCAAUGUUCAAACGAGGUCUCCCGCCCCCGCCUCAUCUGUGAUAAUGGCAUCGGUGUGAUGACCACAGAGGAUGGUCGCUGGUCGGCAUCGGCGGCAUGGCUGGACAGCAUCGGCGGCAAGACUGGAAGCUGCCCACGCCCAGGAUACAUGGUGGCAUGCUGAUCUAUGGCUCUAAGAAUGAAAUUGGCAGUAGCUUUGAUUUUUGGUCUGCAAUUCGAUGAGAUGUUCUUGAUUUUCGAUUACCAAUGUUCUUGAUUUCCAGAUGCUUGAUAUUAUCCACCCAAACGGUAUAUACGAGGGGUUCUUUUACUUUACCGGUAAUUAUGAGUAACACAAAGUUAAACUUAUAUUUGGAUUACAAGGGUAUAAAGGUCCCUAUCCUGCUAGAGUGUUUGUCUGUUUGAGAAGCAAGGAAAAACAGGGCUGAAAUGAAUGAUCCAUAUUUACCAAGGAAAUCCUCGGAAGUCAUAUGCAUUUGCGUGGGGACAGAAACUUAGAAACCGUUCACCAAACGGUGGAAAAGCAGCGGCACGUAAGAACAACGUGGUUAUGGCCUUUUCUGGCUUCCUCACACGAACAACCUGGCUCAUUUGUAUUUAAGCCGUUGUUGUUUUCUCGCUGUCACGGAGCCCAAUCAGUAAUUGUUACUCUCCUCAAACAGCCAGUCAAAAUAGUAAACCUUUUUCCAACCAUUUAAUUUCGCGUAGCCAGUCAUGCACACUAUACAAAUUUUACAGGUUUCCUAUUCAGCGAGAAAAACCCAGUCAUCUGAUAGACAGGUUCAUCAAUUGAAACAUAACAAUCUGACGAGAAAUCUGUGACAGAUACAGAAUGACAGCGAUUCUCGCCAAUUGAUUCCAUUCCUAAGAUUAAUGGAUAGAUGAAUGGCUAGAUUGGUGGGAGGCUACCGUAAACAUACAAGAGACACCUAAGAAGGCACUCCGCACUUUGAUGUUGUUGGUCGCCUGGGAGAUAUGGAACGAAAGGAAUCGCAGAACCUUCCAACAGAAUGAGCUUUCAGCUACCUCCCUUUUAGCCAAGAACAAGAAAGAGGCCAAAACUUGGGCCUUAACAGGAGCGAGAAGUUUUAAUAGCUGGCUUUCUUUUAGUUAGCUCGGACCAAAGGUCCUAGCUCCUUUCUUUUUUUCUUUUACUUUAUAAAGUUCCCCUUCUCUAUUCAAUAAAAUUGGCGCUCGUCCAUUCGUUCAAGAAAAAAAAUUGAGCACUGUCUCGAGAGUACACGGCACGCAGCAAUGUUGUUUAAGAGUGUGGGCAUUAUCCUCUUCCAAAUCGUGGUUAAGGCCUGGUGUCAAAAAAAAAUCGAGGUUAAGGCAGUGUUUAGUUCCUUCAAACUACAAAAAAUUCCGUCAAAUCAAAUGUUUGGACAUAUACAUGAAGCAUUAAAUGUGAACGAAUAAAAAACUAAUUGCACAGUUUGCAUGUAAAUUACGAGACGAAUCUUUUAAAGCCUAAUUACGUCAUGAUUUGACAAUGUAAUGCUACGGUAAAUAUUUACUAAUAAUAGAUUAAUUAGGCUUAAUAAAUUCGUCUCGUGGUUUAUAGACGAAAUCUAUAAUUUAUUUUGUUAUUAGUCUACGUUUAAUACUUCAAAUAUACGUCGAUAUAUAUAUUUUGGUACACGAAGUAAACCCGGCCUAAGCUGGCGAGUUAGGGACCUGACAUAUCUAUCAUGUUGCUCGCUAUAUAUAGCGCGGAUAUCUGGACACAGAGGCCACACGCCGUCGAGACUCGAGAGAUUCAGGAACAGAAACCGCCGAGAGAGUUCGUAGCAGUCAACGCGCGAGGCAGGGCCGAGAAGAAACCGCCGGCGACGCACGCGCGAUGGACGCUCGGCGGAGGCGGUUGUCCCCGGCGGUGGCCGUGGCGGCGGCUCUUCUUUUCUUCCCCAUGUUCUUCGGUGAGGCUGCGAUUUCCGUCUCUUUUUUUUUGUUUCGUUUUUUCAGUUUUGUUUUGUUGCGGCGCUGUUUGAUUUUGCUCGCUCGCUUCUGAAUCCUGAAAGGGAGCCAUACGCCGGCGGCGGCGGCGGCGUACGGAGAGGCUUCAGGCGACGCCGGCGUGACGGCGCUGCAGAAGCACGCGGCGUUCUUCGACAAGGACGGCGACGGCAUCGUCUCCCUCUCCGAGACAUACGACGGUGAGCUCCCCAUCUCGUUUCACUUGUGAUUUUAUUUGUGAACUGAACACGAUUUGGUCUGUUCAUGCCGUGUCGUCCUUCCGAAUUUUCGCCUCAUUUUUUAUCCUCAUCUCGGAUGCACCGCAGGGUUACGAGCACUCGGACUCGGGUCUGGCCUCUCCAGCUUGAGCGCCGCCUUCAUCAAUGGCGUCCUUUCCCCAAAGACCAGACCUGUACGCUUCCCUCUCUCUCUCUUUCUCUCACUCUGGCUAAAAUGUUACUAUCUGAAAGUCUUUAUGUUUUUAUUACUGAAUUUAAGGUGCUUUAUUAGCCUGUAAUUACUUGCAGAGAAUUCUUGCUUGUUUACAUCACUACAAUGAUAUGCUGUUUUGAAAGUUGUCAUCAGCGCUUAACUAUCUGAUCACAUAAUUCUGUAUUAGGCUAUCAACUUCAGAAGUAUUGAAAAUCUAACCCUUCCUUGUACUUCACCACUACUGUCGUAAUCAGGCCUCAAUUCUGGAUAAGUUCGGUAUAGACAGUAGGGUGUGAAUUGUGAUGUAGGCGUGACAUAUUGAUUAGGAUUAGCUGCUACUAUCCUUCUUUUUACUGUGAUCUAUAGCUAUUUUUUCUCUAAGAUUGUUAGAACGUCUUUGUACGUAUAUCGAUAUAAGUGAUCCAUUUCCUAUGGCAUACGAAAAGAGAUGUUCAAUUAAUCGUUGGAUCAUGUUGAAUUCACGCAGGACAAUGGAACAGCACCACGCUUAUCUAUCUACAUAGAGAACAUCUACAAGGGGAUUCAUGGAAGCGAUUCAAGCGCCUAUGAUUCUGAAGGAAGGUAAUUAAGCUGCGGUUGCAGACUACUUUCUGCUUUCACCUUGGCUCUUCAAUUUGACCCUUCUCAUCCAAAGAUCAUUCGAUUCAUUUCACAGACUAUUUUCACUCCGGUGUAUCUAUUUCAGUAUGAUUGCUAAUAUUUCAAGUUUUCAGGUUCGUUGCUGAAAAGUUUGAGGAGAUAUUCGCCAAGCACGCCAAGACCGUGCCUGAUGCUCUGACAUCGGACGAGAUAGACGAGCUGCUUCAAGCGAACCGCAAGCCCGGUGACUACACUGGAUGGUAGUAAUUAAUUUUCUGGCUAUUACCACUCAAAAUAUUAAUGAACUUUCAUGUGAUCUUACUACUGUAUAUGCUGCUGUUCUUGCUCGAAUUGAAAUGCAGGGUCGCAGCAUCGUCAGAGUGGAAGAUUCUGUACAAGAUCGGCAAGGACAAGGACGGCCUUCUUCGCAAGGAGGCCGUGCGAGAAGUCUACGAUGGAAGCCUGUUUACCAAGCUGGCGGCGGCAAGGAUAAACGACGAAAACCAAGCAUGAUUGGUGACAGCUGAUGGGAUCAUCUCCAUUGAUUCUCCUGAUUAAGCAUCUCAAAUCAUGUGCCACUGUGAUAUGAGAACGAUUGAGAUGAUGUCUGAACACAAAAAGAUAGUCAUGCAAGAUAGAAGUAUGAACAAGUGUGGACAGAAUCUGCAGAUGGGGAUGGAUCGUUUAGUUCUGUCCUUUUUUGUUGGUUUCUUGGGGAUAUUGAAUGUUUAUAUUAUUAUACCUGCAAAUGGUUGGCAGUGCAAGGCUGCAAGCAAUGGCACACUAUUUAUACAUUUGGCGUCCCUUAGCCCGUAGUUGCCCGUGAUGCCGUGAUGCUUGUCUUAUCUGAACUCUGAAAGUCUGAAUCAGUUAGCAGCAUUAUCUUCGUGUGUGCUUGGCAGGUCGAAGAGCUUCCGUUCCUUUCUCUACUUGCAGAUCGUGAUCGCCUGGUACUGUUAACAAAUCGCAGUGUUUCUAUGCUGGCAAGUCACGCACAAGGGGAACACAUUAGUUGUCAAUCAUCUCAUCAGGUGGAGCUUCUAUGCAAAAUAGUUGUUUAUUCAGCGAAUUAGGUGGGUUUUCUACUGUUAAAUGGCGCUUAGAGAUGAUGAGGCAAAUUAAACAAAGUACAUUUAACCCAAAAAAAAAACAGUAUGCAAAAUCCUACUUGUUCUGUUGUGCAGGUGAAGCCGAAGAAAGUGGUCCAGGUUGAACUGUGCAGGCCAGCUAAUACAGUACAUAUGGUCCAUGGACUCGGAUAAUGUCCAUAUGGUCCACGAAACGAAUGGAAUUUCCAUGGACUCGGACCAGUCAGGCCCACAAUUGUUGCGCUCAGCCCAACCGCGACAUCGCGAGACGCAAAACCGCCGGACGCGUGGGCCUGCACACGGAAUCUCGCCUGAUAUCAGGCCCAUCUCACGCGAUCCGGCCUACCUGGCUCGCCUCAACCGACGUAAAUUCCCGCACGCGCACAUGCUGCUCUAAAAACUCUUCCGCUCCAGAGGCUUCACAGCUUUCUCCUCCCGUAGAGCCAAGCCAACCAAGCGGGAGCAGCAUGGCUACGGCCACGUCGACGGCGACGAGCGUGGCGGCGGCGCUCCUCCUCUCGCUCCUCCUGGCGCGCGCGCGGGGCGACGACGACUACUCGGGGUUCGUGUACGCCGGGUGCUCGCAGGGGCGCUACGCCUCCGGCACGCAGUACGCGUCGGACGUCGACUCCGUGCUCACCUCCGUCGCCAACAGCGCGCCCUACUCCCCCUACGCCAACUUCACCUCGCCGACGUCGAACUCGGUGGUCGGCGUCUACCAGUGCCGCUCCGACCUCCCGGCCUCCGUUUGCACCGGCUGCGUCCGCUCCGCCAUCUCCAGGCUCUCCUCGCUCUGCGCCUGGGCCACCGGCGGCGCCGUGCAGCUGCGGGCCUGCUUCGUGCGCUACGGCAACGACACGUUCCUCGGGAAGCAGGACACGGCCGUGCUGUUCAAGAAGUGCGGCGGCUCGCCGGGGGACGCCGGCGGCGCCGCCAUGCGGGACUCGGCGCUCGGCGCGCUCGUGGCCGCCGCGGCGCCCGCCGGGGGAGGCUACCGCGCCGGCGGGUCCGGGGGCGUGCAGGCCAUGUCGCAGUGCGUGGGGGACCUCGGCGCCAAGGCCUGCUCCGACUGCGUCUCGGCCGCCGCCGGCCAGCUCAAGGCCGGCUGCGGCUACGCCACGGCCGGCGAGGUGUACCUCGGCAAGUGCUACGCGCGCUUCUGGGGGAACGGGGGCGGUGGAUUCAGCAGCGGCGCCGCCGGGGACGCGUACGGAUCUGGGCAUCGCGUGUCCGGCAACCGGUUCGUUCUCUCCGUCGCCGGCGGUUUCUUCACUUCCUUGGCCUAUAUAUUUGUACUCAUGUAGUUACUGAAUUACAGUUGCAGUAUGAUCAAUGAUCGUGAACUAGACUACUAGAGUGCCUGUGUCUGUGUGCUUUAUGCGUGGUAUGUAACCACUAAUCAGCAUAUCUGCAUAUGUGAUGCGAUGCAGGUUUACUCCUUGUGCUUGAACAAAUUAAACUUGAUGCUUUCUAACUUAAAUGGACUUCUUAUCAAGUUUGUAACUGUAAAUUUGAUAUUCUAAAAUUGCAGUUAUGUGUAGCUCCUCGUUCUAAAAUGAUCAAUCAUGUUGAUCUGCAUUUGCAGUAGAGUUCCUUUAAUUCGGUGGUGCUGUUAAAGUUCCACCUCGUGCACAAACAGAAACUCACAAAUUGACAUGCAGCAUCUCCCUCUCUGUCUGAGCGUGUCCACAAAUGACAAAACCAUAACUCUACCGCGCUAAGUCUAGUCUUGUUGAAAUUUCACUGGCCAGCUCAGAUAUCAUACCUUCAGUUGUUUAAUCGACUAAUCACCAGUAUCUAACAAUUCGAACGUGCUGUACACCAAUUAGAACACUGCAGCAUACCCUCCUCCACAUAGACCCUGAAUACCUGGUCUGAUCGUCUGGUGUCUGAACUGAUAAUGCAGUGCUCAAAGGCAUGCUACUGGCAAGAAGACCAAAAGUGCUUUAAUUCUCCUCGCCUUUAUCUUUGCUCUGAGCUUUUCUUGAUAGGAAACUUUUGACAUGGACUUGCUUUAUCGUUGUGAUCACUAUGAAGUUUUAGUAGAAUAUCUCAAAGGGGAUUCAAAUGAUUCAGCUUUUCGCUUGAUUAGCAUUGAAAUGGAGGGAUAUCGCUGGUAUCCCUCACAUUGCGAGCAGCGUAGUGUGGUUUGCUUUUUGUAAGCUUUAGGAGGUUAAGCUGCCAGCCCUUUCACUAGUUACUAGGCCUGUUAGCUACUACUUUGGAUUAAGUUAAUCAGUACUACUACUAUCCCGCUGAAUGCCGUAUCUGUUUAAGUUUCACCGUACAUUAUUGUCACCUCUCCAGUAUAAGCUUGUUGCAAGGUCGCCAGCUUGCAUGCUAUGAUUGGAUCAUACCGGUGGCUUUUUGCUGGAACGCCGCCUUUCCUUUUGCUGUCCUUGUUCUUAUUACCAUACAUGCCUUCUCUUUUGGUAUGCAAUGGGUCAAAGGAAUGAACACCAAGCACUAGGGCUGGAUGGAACAAGCUAGAGAAAGGACUCCACUCCACUGUGCUUCAUGUGGAGAGAAGAUCCAGCUAGAUCACAUAGCUUUCUAGCCGGCGAUGCCACCCCUGCAUCGGUAGUGGAGAAAAUUUGUUUGCAAGCAAUACACUUUAACUUUGUUAGGAUAGUUCUUCUCCUUACUUUCGCCGGGAGAUAGUUCUCCAUACUUGUUCAAGGAAGCUAGUUCACUAGCUGUUUCAGGCUUUCAGCUUGGACAUGCCAUUUGGACCAGAGAUAAGGGGGAGAUAGAGAGGUGGGGACGCUGAUAUGUGAGCCCUAUAUGCUAACUGUUGAGUUAAUCGGUUCGACCAGAUCAAUGAGUCAUGUCAACAAAUAUUGCUGUAAAUAGUGUUCUGAAAAUCAAAUUACAUUAACGGUUAGGAGAUCAAAUAUUCAGUAUUAGAGUUGAGAGAUACAAAUCAGAUUGAACUUAUAUUUGAGAGAUUCAAAUGAACUUGCUCCUUUCACUCUUUCAGUGCAGUGCUGCAGUUCAGACAGUGGUAACGGGCCCACGGCCUGGCCCAACUUGGCCAUUGACAGUUUUAGCCCGUACUGGCCUGGCCCAACUGCACUUCCAUCCACCUGAUGUCGAGUUCCAGAAGGAUCCAACAAAACGGAACGUGCGGUCGUGUCAAGUUCCAGCCUUAACAGCGAAGCAAAACAUCUCACUUUUUUUCUCUUUUGGAUUUCUUUCUGCCGUCAUCUUCGAAUAUCCAUGACUCGCUUGAUCUCCACCGCCCGUUUCUUCCAUCUGAGUCGUCCACGUGGCUCCACACGCGUUCCCAUCCGGCCCUUCCCGUACAGCCAUGACUCAGCCAUCGGGUUCCUCGAACGUGUCGUCCGGCUAAAUCUGGUGCACUUGCCUGCACCGCGUCCACGAGAACCGCACGAGAACCUCCCCCUCUCUCCAUCCCUCGCAUCCCGUGGACCCAUUCCACCCAGGAGCCCUCCGAUCCACCGCCCUCUCCUCGCUAAAGGCGAAACCCUCCUCGACUCGUCGAUCCGAUCCCCCAUCCCCCCCCCCCCCCCCCCCCAAAAAAAUCCCUCGCCUCCUCUUCCUCCUCCCCGAGCUCGAGUCCGAGAGCCUCCGAUUCGGCAGCGAUGGCGCUGGAGUGGGUGGUGCUUGGGUACGCGGCGGGAGCGGAGGCGAUCAUGCUGCUGCUGCUGACGCUGCCGGGGCUGGACGGGCUCCGGCGGGGGAUGAUCUCCGUGGUGCGGAGCGCGCUGAAGCCGAUGAUGUCGGUGGUGCCCUUCUGCCUCUUCCUGCUGAUGGACAUCUACUGGAAGUACGAGACGCGGCCCACCUGCGACGACGAGCACCACUGCACCCCGUCCGAGCACCUCCGCCACCAGAAGUCCAUCAUGAAGUCGCAGCGCAACGCGCUCCUCAUCGCCGCCGCGCUGCUCCUCUACUGGAUCCUCUUCUCCAUCACCUCCCUCGUCGUCAGGCUCGACCAGCUCCAGCAGCGCGUCGACAAGCUCAAGAAGCGGGACGACUGAUCUGAUCCUGCUACCCCUCCCUGAUUCAGCGCGUCGACUGACCUGACCGGUGGCUUCGCUGUUUCUUCCCUACUCGUUUGUGUUCUUAGAUAUAUCAUGUGAUGCGUGUUGCUGUGUUUUUUUGUAGUAUGGAUAUGGAUGCUUGAGAUCGUGAUGCGGAUUUGAGCGUUCUAUUAUUUGCUUCAGAUCUAGUUUGAGUAAAUUCUGGUCUUUUAUGCUACGAAGGACAUGAUACAUCAAUUUCUCCAAAAAAAAAAGUUGCAAAUGUGAGACUCUAGGUUAUUUUUGGAUUAGUGGGAAUAAUAGUUUUUACCUGUUUUAUCACGAAGGUCGAUGUGGGUUGGGUUUUGGUGCAAACAUUGGUAAAUGAUGCAAUGCAAACUCUCUAUAUCUUGGAGGAAAGCUCCACUUCUGGUUUUCAGUGAGUUAGGGCAUGUACUUCUGAGAUGUUGAUCAGUGAGGCGAUUGUUUUUGUGAUGUUAGACAUUAGAAGUUUGUCUGAUUGUGAGAAAAUUCUUCAGGGGGAAAUUGUGCCAUUACCACAUAGUGCCCCUUCCACUUUGCCGCAAGUUGAUUGCAAUUGCUAAUUUGCCACAUACUUGAGCAAUUUUCACUGCAUUUGUUCACGGUAGGCGAUGAAAUGGUAGGCUGGGCCAAAACUGAUAAAAACCAGCUGCUACAGGUAAAUUCAUCUUAUUAGUAGUGAUUCUCUCUGUAAAUCAUUUGGUAGAGUCCAAAGCCGUGAUGAUGUUGUUUUUCCUUUAUAACUCUUCCACUCUGGUGAUUAUCACUAUUUACAAAGUAAGUUGGAGCACAUCCCUCGUUAUAUUUGCUCUUGAUUUAUCCUAUGAAGGACAUGAUACAUCAAUUUCUCCAGAAAAAGGUUGUUGCAAAUGUGAGACUAGGUUAUUUUUGGAUCAGUGGGAAUAAUAGCUUUUACCUGUUUUAUCACGAAGGUCGAUGCGGGUAGGGUUGGAUCAAGCUUGUGAACAAGGGAAUUGCAACUUGUUUGGUGCAAGCAUUGGUAAAAGAUGCAAUGCAAACGAAUAAGCUGUUUGCAACUUAUUUUUUUUAGGAUUAGCUGUUAUACUUUACACCAAAGUUUGUGAAAGUGUUAUCGAGUGCAUGAACUUGAGCACAACUUGAAGUAGUUAAUCGAAGUUCAACAACUUGAGCACGCUCCCCUUUUAUGCAAAGGGUUAUAUGCAUGUUCUUUGAUGUUCUUGUUAACUGAAGCACAUUUUUAUGUGGUACUCCAGCCAGUAUCUACUGUACAUUGUUAUUGGGAACAUUCAUUGGAGUCUAUUGACAUGUUCCUUGAAAGGUAUCCUUUCUAGAUUAUGGAUUUAUGCUGGUUUCUUGGAAGAUCUCGUUCGGAGUGGAAACAAACUGACUUCUUCUGUCGGAUCGUGUAAUGUACAUGUUUCAGGUCAGUACCAGCUCAUGUAUCGUAUACUUAGGCCCUAGUUCGAAUAGGAAAACGGUAGAAAAGCCAUAAUUAAACUUCAAGAUGAUAUUUAUCCUUUUAUGUAAGAAAGUUUUUGCACGGUUUUAAACAGGUUGAAAUAUAUUUGGUAAUGGAGACCGAGGGAAAUCUUUAGAACGAACGGGGCCUUAAUUUUACGACAAGAGAUUAAGGGCCACUUGAUUGAUGCCAAAAUGUGCCGUGCUAUUUUUUUUAUAGUUUGAAUAGUAAAUAUGAUGGUUUGGUUUGAAGCGAAAUGGAUGGUAAUUCCCAUACUUAAUCUGGUAUAAUUCUAGAAUUUUCUUCAUCGUAACAUAAAAUUUGGUUUCUAAUUGGUACUUCCUCUGUUUCAUAAUGUAAAUCAUUCUAACAUUUCUCCAUUCAUAUUGAUGUUAAUGAAUCUAAAUAUAUAUAUCUAUCUAUAUUCAUUAACAUCAAUAUAAAUGUGGGAAAUGCUAAAAUGACUAAGUAUCAACCUAAACACAUUACUAAGAAUUCUAUCAUAUCAAAUUAUUCGUAGUGCCAAAACAUAAACAUGACUAGGUUUUGGUAAAGAAAGCCCUAACACUGCAAACAUACAAACGUGGCACCGUAGAAGAUCGAAACAGGAUGCCGAGACCGACUCGAAAAGGCUCGCUGGCCUCCGUGCCCCGCCUGGCCAUUGUUAACCCUUGUUUUAUAGGCCAUUGUUUCAAGGCCCGCUUGGCCUCCGCGACAAAGCCGCAAAACUACAAAGUUUGCUGUUUGCUUGUUCUGCUUUUCUACACGUGAGAGCAACCAGGGGCGUACCUACGUGUAUCUACCCGGUGUCUUCGGAUACCGGGUAGCUUAUCUAUUUCUAAGUGUUUUAGGGUCAUAUUAAGCAUUAUAUCACUCAAAAAUUAGUCUAUAAGCAUAUCAAGGAUCCCCGGUAAUUUUUGUUCUAGGUUCGCCACCGAGAGCAACACGUCAAAACAUGAGCACUGUCAGGUGCUUGGCAUGCCGUUUCCUCUGGAGAUCGACGCCUUCUCCCCAUCCUGCUCUCGGGAGAUCCACCACUCCUCCUCAUGCCGCUCGCUGGUACAAGAGGCCGCUUCCACGCACGGCGGCGGCCGCGUCCGUCGUCGCCUCUGCGGCCGUCUGGUUAUUCGGCCAUCAAACCAACGCCUCCCCGAGACCCAAUCCGAGCUUGACAUACUGCAGCGAGGCGUUCCUAGCUCGAUCGGCCCUCCCGGAAAGCCACCCCGACACGGUUCGGGUGCGCCGGGUGGCCGCCAACAUCGUUUCGACGACGCUGGAGGAUGCGGUGUUCGGGCAGCGGAGGCUGUCGGAGAGGAUCGGGCACCGCUUCGUCCCCGGCAUCAACUGGAGGGUGCACGUCAUCAACGACGACAAGAGCCUUACGGGUUGUUUGGAGAGCGGUGAGAUCUUGGUCUUCACUGGGUUCCUCAACGCGUACUGUUAGAAGGACGACGAUUUAGCCACGACGCUCGGCCACGAGGUAUGUUGUUGGCAAAUACGCCCCCCCCCCCCCCCCCCCGCAUUCGGUCGUUUAAGAAUGUAGCAACUUUUAACUUUCAUCUAAACAUAUAUUUGUCCAUGUACGGGAACAUAUUCUAUGCACACAAACUUCUCGUGCAUACUCUGUGUACACCAACUAGCAAAUGUCACGAAAAAUUCUAAAAAAAUCAUUUACUCCUAUUCAUAUUACACAUAUCUAGAAAGUCUCACUUCAAAUUCACUAUAUUUUACCGUAAUAAAAAAAGUGAAAAAUCUGAUAAUUUUAAGGGCAAAAAUCUGUCAGAAUUUUGUCUUUUUUAUUAUGGCUAAAAUAUAAUGAAUUUGAAGAUAAAAUUUCACAUGUAGGUGCAAUACUAUUUGAAGUAAGUGUACAAUCUUUUAUAGAAUUUUUCGUGACAUUUGCUAAUUAGUGUGCACGGAAAGCUUGUUUGCAUAGAAUAUGUUCCCUUCAUAUACAUGUUAAAAGUUGCUUUAUUUAGUUAUGGAAAAAGUACGAAUUACCCCCACCGAACUAUCGCGGUCGGCCGAAUUCCCCCCUAAACCCGAAAACCAGAUAUGACUCACCCCGAACUUUUAAUAUCGGACGAAUUACCCCCCCUCAACGUAAUCUAAAGCGGUUUUAUCCUACGUGACGCACACAUGGCAGCCCAGUCAAUAUUUUCUUUUAAAAAAACAUGGUGGGGCCCACCUGCCAAUAUGCUAUCUCUCUCUCCUCUUCACCUCUCUCACUCUCUCUCUCUCUCCC
rnacentral:lncRNA from 1 species